rnacentral:lncRNA from 1 species
GAAAACAGCACCGUUCGUUUAUAUAAAGAUAAAGAUUGAACAUUGCCACGUUGUCUUAUUCAUAAUUGUGUGUCCACCACACAUAUAGGCCAUCCAUUUCUAUUUUAUUCUUAGACACUGCUGCUGCAGCAGGGCGGGAGAGGACACUCGACGGCGUUGAUCGGGUGAUCAACGCGUGAGCGUGCUAGUUACCGCCGGCGGCAACAGCCUCUGACGGCGUGCACGCGGGCGGGAAGGGUCCAAAGUAGCGGUCGAUGCAGACGCGGAGAGAAGGGCGCGACCUGGACGGCAGGCAGGUCUUGCAGGUCGGAGCACACUUGUCGACCUCGUCCAUGCAUUGGCACGUCGGCGGGUUGGACCUGGUGCACAGGGGCAGGUCGCAGCAGUCCCAGGGCCUGCAGAUGGGCCCGGGGUCGCCGACGUACUGGUCUUGGCAGACGCGGCGGGACGGGUCGCCCACGGACGGCCCGCAGGCCUUGCAGGUGGAGGGGCACUCGAAGACCUGGUCCAUGCAGCGGCAGAUCGGCGGGAUGGACCUGGUGCACACCGCCUGGUCGCAGCACUUCCACGGCCUCUUCUUGGCCGCCAUGGCUGCUUCGUCUGCAAGCCCAAGCCCUCAGUUAAUCAGUUUUUCAUGGACGCCUGAAGCCAUGAACUAGAGAAGAAAGGAGUUGACGCACGCGCACCUUGGCCUUGGCUCGGCAGGAGAAUGGCAUCCACGUCGCCGGCGACGAGGAGGGCUGCCUGCAGUGCAAGCAUCAGCAGGAUGCUAGGAACGACGCAUCGCUUCAUUCCCAUGGCGUGCUUACUGAGCUUGCUUGUGCGUUUGCUUUGAAGCUGGCUAGAUAGCAGCCAGCCGUAUAUGUAGCCUCGGGACACCGAUGGAUCACCUAACGAGCGGACAUCGCUGCAUGCGAGCAGAUAAGGACACGUGCACAUAUGCGUGUCUGAUGACUAGACAGAUGGACAAAAGUGUCGACAGAAGCCGUACAUGCGGUCACGUGACCCACGUUCUCCCUUGAUUGCACAUGACUGGAUCCAAUGCACCAAUUGCGGGCCCACACCGUACCUCACGUGACCCACGUUGUGGCUAAUCGAUCGUUCGAAAGGCAGGCCAUUCUCGUUCGAGAGACGGUGACACGCAGGCCAGUUUACUGUAGUUGCUGCGCCACAGCAUCCCUCAUAAAAAUUUUAAAAUCUGCGCCACAGCAACAAUGCAAAAUAGUACCGCUAAAAACAACAAUACAAUGUAAAGUUUGGAAUACAAAAAUACAGCUUGGUCAAAGUUUGAAGAAAUUUUACUAAACAAUAUACAUAUGAUUUUAAUAUAUAUCUUCUGGCGUUUCUGAAAAAAAAUGUUUAAAAGUACUUUUCAAACAUUUAUUUCAAAUGGCAUGAUAGAUAAUAUAUAAUGCCAUAUCCCUCGCAAAAAAGAAAUAAUUUUAUGCCAUAUACAGAUAUGGUUUGGGCAAAUUAAUUUGCCUUGACUAGUUUGUGGACCAAUGCCACUUCCAAUUUUAGUUGGUUGAAAAUUUUAUUCACUUAAUCCGAUAAUAUCCAAGUAAGAAGGAAAUAGUUCCUAAAAAAUCACACAACUUUUUUGAUGAUCCAUCGUCGGAUUGGAGCUCCAAAUCCUAGAGUGAAGUCAUGGAUGACGAAAAAGACGAAGUACAUUGAUGGUUCUUCAAUUAAUGGAUAGUGGCGAUCGGAAAGAAGAUGAAGCAUGCAGGUUCGCAGGCUGGUCGUGCGACAGUGCACCGAAACAAAAUUGAAGGGCUCGAAAAGCUCAUGUGUUGUUACUUUCUAUCGGUUCAUACCUUCUCAUUGUAUGUGUUGCGGCGAUGCUUCUGGAUGUCCGAAAGGUUGUUCCGUUGAAUUGCUGACGACAUGGAAGCCAAUGAACUUUUCUUCCAGAAAUGGGGGAAUGUUGCCGGUAUCCUUGAUUUCCCCCCUUGUCAAAAGGUGAUCGCAACAAUUUGGAUGAUUGCAUAUCACACUCCUGCAGAUGCAUUGGAGGAGUAUCUUUGGAUGGCCAAAUAUGCAAUCAUAAAGUGCAGGAAAGUAUUCACUAAAACUGUGGCGAGUGUUUAUGGAGAGCGGUAUUUGCAAGCAUCCAUGCCGGGGAGACAACAAGGAUUCUAUCAACGCAUGAAGCAAAAAUAUCGGUCUUGGAUGCUAGGGAGUGUUGUCUGUAUGCACCGAAGGUGGAAUAAUUUCCCGUGCAACUUGGCAUAACAAUUCACAGGCACUGCCAUGAUCCAACAAUUUAUUUUUGAAGUUGUUGCUUCCGAAGAUUUGUCGAUUUGCCAUAGCCAUUUGGGGUUGUCAGGAUCAAUGACAUCAAUGUCUUGCAGAGAGCUCACAUGUUUUCAAGGCUAGUUGAUGGUAUUUCUCCACCUUACAACUUUAUGUUGAAUGGCCAUUAGUAUGAAGAACUCUACUAUCUGGCUGAUGGCAUCUAUCCAUCUUGAUAAACAUUUUUUAAGUCAAUUUCUAAUCCUAGAACCACAAAACUCGAGCAUUUCACCAAGGCGCAAGUAGCUCAGAGAUAGGACAUUGAGAGGGCAUUUCAAGUGCCACAAGCAAGGUCUUAAAUUUUCCGGGGCCUACACUUUUCUAGAAAAAGGAUGCUUUGACAAAUAUCAUGACAUGUGUGAUCCUACACAAGAUGCUUAUCGAGGAUGAGAGGAAUAUGCAAAGACCCAGUGACUAUGAAAGUAUUUGCCCAAUCAUCAGGCCUCGCAGGCACACAAACCACAUUCACACAUUUCUUGGGGUGUACUGGAAAGACUGAAGACUAGGACUCCCAUCAUUUGUUGAAGGAGAUUCUCAUUGGACAUCAUUGCCAGCUAGCUGGGAGAUAGUGUAUUUAUAUUUCUUUUGAAUUCGUGUAUUUUAGUUGAAUAUUUUAUUUGAUUGGGAUAUUUGUUGCAUCUGGAUUAUUUGUUAAUUUAGCUUAUUUGAUGUAUUCAGAUUCAUGGUUUGUAAAAAUAUUUGUUGAAUUGCUGUAGUGUUUGAUCUAAAUUGUCCUAAUAGUGUAAAUGAAAACUUCAUCGAAAUCGUGUUUGCAAGUUUCUACCAUUUUUUUUAUAAAAAAUACAGUAUGUUAAGUGGGUAAUGUUAUAUUGCCAUGUGAAGUUUGUUGGAACCGCCACUCCCUAGCCCUAGCUCUCCUCUCCCUCUCGCUCACCUCACUCUCGCCUGCCGUGGCUCGAUCAGAAGACAGAGGAAGAAGAAGAUCAGAGGAGUGGUGGACACAGGGGUUUUUCCAGCGCACGAAUGCUUUUUUCUUUCCUCGAGCAUGAACUCGACCGUGUCAACAAGUUACAGGGGGGAUCCAGGGUUCUAUACCUGCGAGCACCGGCCUGCAAGCCCACGCCUCGCACCUAUUCGCCCACCCACUUCCCACGUCCUCCGUGCUCUGGCCGCGUCCACGCACCGCGCCCGUACGCGAUCGCCACGGCCUCCCAGCGCGCCCGACGCGACCUCCCCCUCCUGUUUGCUCGCUAACAGCAUGGCGUGGCCCCGCGCACACACGUGCUGGCUCACGCACUCACACACGCACAGCUACGCACUCACAUACCCGCGGACCCGGCGCGCCCGACGCGUCCGGUGCGCGCCCAUACACGCACUAGCCGUGCCAGGCUCGACGCCGCGGCUUAUUACACCCAACAUUCGCGCCCUAAGCCGCGGCUCAGAGCAGGCUAGCGUCCUCGACGUCACCGUCGACCAGCAAGGCACGCUCCGCCGCCGACGCUUUCUUCCACUGCGGGCAGUCACGUUUGAAGUGACCCCGCUCGCCGCACUUGUAGCACCUGCCUCGUCUAUUGCGGCUGAAGCCCGACGCCUCGCUGCGCGUCCCAUCGUCGUCGUCCCGAGCUCCGCCGCGCUGCCGCUCCCGCGCUCGCCACUGUGCCGCAGUGAACAUCAGCUGCUCGCCGCCAUGGUUGCCUCCGUCCUGCCCGCGCAGACGCAGCCUCUCAUCGAAGGCCUUCAGCCGAUCCAACGCGUCCUCGAACGCAAUUGUGUCGACGUCACAGAACUGCUCGAUCCCGGCCAGCGCCGCGUACAGGCAGUCCGGCACCGAGUCGAGCAGUUUCUUGACCAGUGUCGCAUCUUCCAGGGUCGAGCCCAACGCAGCAUAGCGCGCAGCCAUGCCACCGAGCCUGCCGGCGAAGUCAUCCAGGGUCUCGGCGUCCGCCAUGCGCAGGAGCUCAAACUCCCCGUGCAGCGUGCCCAGCCGAGCCGCCCGCACACGAUCAGCUCCGACGUACCUGGCCUUGAGGCUCGCCCACUCCCCCGCAGUUUUCUUCGAUGCCACCUACAUCAGCAGGUUCUCCGCGAGUGCACUGAGGAGGUAGGCGGGCGCGGGCUUGUCCUUCUUCGCGAUGACGGCCGCAGCCGCGUCCUCCGGCACGACCACUGCCUCCCACAGCCCGGCCGUGUCGAGAUUCGCCUCGACCUUGAUGGCCCAUGCCGUGUAGUUGUCGCCGUUGAGCUGCGGCAGUGAUCCGCCCGCACCGCCACCCUAGGGGACGAUCGACAUCGCCGGCGCGCCCUGAUCCUUACGUGACUCUGAUGCCAAUUGUUGGAACCGCCACUCCCUAGCCUUAGCUCUCCUCUCCCUCUCGCUCAACUCACUCUCGCCUGCCGUGGCUCGAUCAGAAGACAGAGGAAGAAGAAGAUCACAGUAGUGGUGGACACAGGGGUUUUUUCCAGCGCACGAACGCUUUUUUCUUUCCUCGAGCACGAACUCGACCGUGUCAACAAGUUACAGGAGGGAUCCAGGGUUUUAUGCCCGCGAGCACCGGCCUGCAAGCCCACGCCUCGCACCUACUCGCCCACUCACUUCCCACGUCCUCCGCGCUCUGGCCGCGCCCAGGCACCGCGCCCGUACGCGAUCGCCACGGCCUCCCAGCGCGCCCGACGCCGUCUCCCCCUCCUGUUUGCUCGCUAACAGCAUGGCAUGGCCCCCGUGCACACACGCGCUGGCUCACGCACUCUCUCUCACACACACACACACCUACGCACGCACACACCCACGGAUCCGACGCGCCCGAUGCGUCCGGUGCGCGCCCAUACACGCACCAGCCGUGCCAGGCUCGACGCUGCGGCUUAUUACACCCAGCAAAGUUCUAACUUCAAACAUAAAUCAUUUAUGAGCUAUGAAAAAUACUAACUCAACAAUGGUGACUUUUCAUGUUCGACACAAUUCAAUGCUGAUUUUUCUGUACCUCAAACAAAAUUUAGUUUGAACGUAGAAUUUCACAUGGUAAAAGAACAUCACACUCUUAACAUAUUGUAUUUUUUUUAGAAUUAUUUAAACUUUAAAACCUAGUUUUUGACAUGUCUUCCAUCGAUUUACAUCGAAACCAUGUUAUCACGUGAUAUUCUCUCGGGGAGGAGACGAGGAGGUGAAAAUCGAAUGGAGUGGGCUUUGGGACUUUAUCUCCAUCGGCUGGGCUAAGAACUAUCAAAAAUGCUAGACUUACGGGAUCCCCUACGGACUACUGCUUACGGACUCUUUUUCCACCAAUAACUGCUCUCGUUGAUUUUUAACUGAUGGACCCCAUCCUUCCUAAUCCCCAAACAUGAUUUGACAACUCAGUCCGUAACAUCAAUCCAGUAAGGAUCUGCCUGUAGGUGUAGGCUAGUCGAAGAACUAUUGUCAGUGGUAUGCACAUACCACUGAUGGGCCAAAAACAAGGCCUGUCAGAUGGCGGGUCCUUGUCUGCAAAUUAGUCAUAUUUAGUAUUUUCCAGGAGAAGUAUUUCUGACGACUUAUUUUAUUUUGUGGGAGAAGUAUUUCUGAUGACAUUGUACAAGUAUCUGUCUAUUAUAAACUAUUUGGAAAGGGUGUUUUUUUUUUUGCAUCGUGCAGGCUUGCCCUAAGACGGGAGAGUGAAGCGACAGAGCUUUCUAGAUGUUGUUGUCGAUUGUGGGUCCAUGAUAUGCAUGUAUUUACCUGUAUAGUGGGAAGUAACUUAGACUACGUUACUAGGAAAAAGACUAUAGAUGAAAUUGACACUAAUGGCACACCAGACAUGCUGUGCGCCACUACUAUAUACUAAUGGCGCACCAGGCACAUGGUGCGCCACUAAUAACAAUUUUUUUUCAUUUUUCCAAACAUACUAAUGGCGCAUCCUGGCACAGUGCGCCAUUACUAGUUUUAACUAGUAAUGGCACAUCAGCCAAACAAUGCGCCACUAUUGUAUUUUUUUAUAUUUUUUUUGCAAAACUACUAAUGGCGCACAAACUAGUAAUGGCGCACUAUGCCACGGUGCGCCAUUAGUAUAUAUAUAUAUUUUUUUAUUUUUUUGCAAAACUACUAAUGGCGCACCACCAGCAGGUGCACCAUUAGUAUGUAUGGUUACUAAUGGCGCAUGAUUGUGUGGUGCGUUAUUAGUAACCUGGGACCAGCUAGAUAUUUUGGACAGCCACACCUACACACUCACUUUCCCCACUUCAUUCCCUCCACCUCCUUCUCCAAGCUUGUGUCGGCUGCCUCCUCCUCUUCACCUCAUUUGCACCAUAGAUUCAUUAAAAUUAAGUGGUUAAAUUACCUUUUUUUGAUAGGUAAGUAAGGGGAAAGCUAUCUUUAUGUUGUAGAUCUACUUUUUUCUCCCUAGCUCGCUCCAACAACGUGCACAUGCACUUUUUAUGGCCUAGCUAGAUCUAUGUAUGUUUGUGGUGUUGCAUAUGUUUGUGGUGUUGCAUAUAUGUUUGUGUUUGCAGGUACCGGUAUUUGAAAUGCGAUAGUUGCCAAUAUUUUGCCGAAAUGUUGAUUCACUUCCGUUUCGGCGAGAAUUUUGGCACUAUGCAUUUUUUGGUCCUAUUUUUAGGGAAAGUCAUGCCAAAUUUUUUCUUGGUUCUAAAAUAUCGUUUUGCUCUACCCCGCAGGCGACCAUGGUCCGUACGAUGACCGAAGGCAUCGUGAAUAGGUUUUUGAGCUCCGCAAAGGCUGAGAUGCUUCAAAAGAACGAGACGGAGAUAAGAUGUCCGUGUCGAAGAUGCAAGCUGAAGAGCCUUAUUGCGGAUCCGGAUUCCGGGCAGGUGCAGGACCACCUGCUCUUGCGUGGUUUCAUGGAUGGCUAUCGAUGGCAAGGUGAUGAAGAUGACUAUGAAGUCGUCCAUGGGGGCCGGGCAAGAAAUGAGGAACGGCAGCAAGACAACCACCGCGGCGAGGGCGGGCGAGAAGACGAAGAAUCUCCAGGACAUGAUCACGACGGUGAUGCUGUACACAGUCAUCAUGUAGAAGAUGCCGGACAUGAUGAUGAGGAAGAUCAAGACGAAGGGCAUGAUCAUGAAGAUGAAGAUGCCGGAGCAGACGACGAUGGAGGCCGGGUGCAGGACCCUCAUAUUCAAGAGCUGCUUUCAAGCAGACGGAUAACGCAAGAGCUGCCGCCCGAGAGAAAGCCAAGCUAGAUCAACUGGAGAUAGACGCGGUUACUCCAUUGUAUGAAGGAUGCAGGCUCGAGGAUUCCCGCCUGGAAGUAACGCUCUUGGCUCUGGAGAUGAAGGUAAAACACAAAAUGACCAACGCAUACUUUGACGAGAACAUGUCAUUCUGGCACGAACGUCUUCCCAAGGGGAACAAGUGCCCGACCAGUUUCGAGGAGGCGAAGAAAAUCGUGUGUCCUCUGGAUUUACCGCACGUGAAAUACCAUGUGUGCAUGAACAAUUGCAUCAUUUAUCGGGACGAGCACGCGGAGUCUACCAUAUCUCCGGUGUGCGGCGUCACUCGAUACAAGAAGAGGAAGAAAGCUCCUCGAAAAUCGGUGUGGUACUUUCCGAUCACUCCUCGUCUGCAGCGGUAUUUCGCGGACCCUAAGGUAGCAAAGCUCCUGCGUUGGCACGCGGAUAGGGAGGAGAAGAAGCGGGAAGAUGACGGAAAUGAUCCAGAGAUAAAUAAAAAAACAAGAUGCCGAGUCACCCUAAGGAUGCGAGCCAGUGGCAAGCGCUGAACUUCGAAGACCCAAAAUUUGGGAAGGAUCCAAGGAACAUCGUGCUGGGCGCGAGCACCGAUGGAGUCAACCCGUUUGGCAGCCAGAGAAGUACACAUAGCACCUGGCCUGUGUUUGUGUGGAUGUACAACCUUCCCCCCUCGUUGUGCAUGAAGAGGAAGUACAUUCACAUGAGUAUGCUAAUUGAAGGGCCGAAACAACCAGGGAACGACAUCAAUCUGUAUCUGGGGCUGCUGAAAGAGGAGCUAGACACGCUGUGGAAAACGCCAGCCAAUACGUGGGACACCGCAGAGAAACAAUAUUUCCCUAUGAGAGUCGCACUGCUCACGACGGUGCACGACUAUCUCGGUUACGGAUAUCUCGCGGGGCAGGUGGUCCACGGAUUUUCUGGAUGCGUCAGGUGCAUGGAUGACACAACGUAUCGCCAGCUAGAUAGAGAUCCCCGGUCUUCGAAAACCGUGUUCAUGGGACAUUGAAGGUGGCUUCGCGACGAUGACCCAUGGAGGAAACGCAAGGAUCUGUUUGAUGGUGAAACCGAACCCCGAAGACGCCCGCGUACGAGGAGCGGCGAGGAAAUAGACGAGCUGUUGAAAAAUUGGAAAGAUUGCCCACUGCCGGGAAAGAAGCAAAAGGCGCCAGAGCCGGGAAAGAAGCGAAAGGCGCCAGAGCCGCUGCUGAAGGUAUGGAAAACGAGGUCUGUUUUCUGAGACUUGCUGUACUGGAAGAUCCACCGUGUGCCUCACAGCCUUGAUGUCAUGCAUAUCAUGAAGAACAUGUGCGAGAGUCUUCUUGGUACCCUGCUCAACAUGCUAGAGAGGACCAAAGAUGGGCCGAAAGCAAGGGCAGACUUGAAAUCAAUGGGCAUCAGGCAGGAGCUUCACGCUAAUGAUGAUGAUGAUGAUGAUGAUGAUGAUGAUGGUGAUGAUGAUGAGGCGAAGCAGGACACAGAAAUUCGUCGCAAAGGAAAAAAGGCCAAGAAGACCGGAAAUGACUACCCUCCCGCGUGCUUCACUCUAAGUCAGGAGGAGAUCGAGCAGUUUUUCACCUGCCUCGUAGGAGUAAAACUUCCUUACAGUUACGCGGCGAAGAUAAGCAGAUACCUAGACCCAGCGAAGCAGAAGUUCAGCGGGAUGAAGUCUCACGACUGUCACGUGCUGAUGACGCAGAUACUUCCAGUUGCAAUCCGUGGGAUCAUGGACGCGCACGUCCGUGAAACACUAUUUGUCCUAUGCAACUUUUUCGACGUCAUCUCUCGGAAGUCGGUUGGCGUGAGGCAACUCAGAAGGCUACAGGAAGAGAUCGUGGUGAUACUAUGCGAGCUUGAGAUGUACUUCCCGCCCGCAUUCUUCGACGUUAUGGUGCAUCUGCUGGUCCAUAUCGUGGAGGAUAUCAUCCAACUCGGGCCGAUGUUCCUGCACAGCAUGAUGCCGUUCGAAAGGAUGAAUGGUGUCAUCAAAGGAUACGUUCGCAACAUGUCACGUCCAGAGGGAAGUAUAGCCAGGGGCUUUCUGACCGAAGAGUGCAUCUCCUACUGCAUGAAUUAUCUAGGCAUCGAGAACCCCGUUGGUCUGCCCGUCAACAGGCACCUCGGCAGGCUCGCUGGAUGGGGUCACCGUGAGGGUCGCCGCGAAAUGCAUGUCGACUUCGAGGGUCGACUCGCUGACUUUGAAAGAGCAAACCUAGUCGCGCUACAACACAUAGAUGUGGUCGAUCCUUGGGUGGUAGAGCACAAAACCUUUAUUGAGAAGACGUACAAUGACCGAGGCCAACCGAGGACGGACGGAGAUAUAAUCAAAGAGCACAACUCAUGUUUUACGUGUUGGUUCAAGCAGAAGCUUCUGUCGUACCCUUUACAUGAGGAUUCUUCCGCGGAAGAACAACUCAUAUUCGCCUUGUCACAGGGCGCCGAGCACAACCUGAUGACCUAUGAGGCGUACGAUAUCAAUGGCUACACAUUCUACACCGAGGACAAGGACAUGAAGAGCGAUGGUUAUCAGAACUCCGGGGUAACGAUGGAAUCCUACACCGGUAACGACAAGGACAGAUACUAUGGAAGGAUCGAGGAGAUCUGGGAGCUGAGCUACGCUGGAGAGAAGGUCCCGAUGUUCCGUGUCAGAUGGGCCAAGAGCGUCCUAAAAGAAGACCGGUAUUUCACCACCAUGGUUAUACCCGAAGCCAAAUCCAAGACCGCGAGCGCAAACGUCACCGCGAAAAAUGAGCCAUGGGUACUGGCUUCCCAAGUGGACCAAUGCUUCUUCAUUACCGACCCGUCAAAGCCCAGUCGUGUUGUCAUGAGGAGAGGCAAAAGGAAGAUCAUCAGAAUGGAUGGAGUAGCCAAUGAGCAAGACUUCGACAAGUACGGCGACCCGAAGAUCGAACAUGACGAUGACGAUGAAGUAGCAGCAUACACCACAAGAAGAAGCAGGACCACCCUACCUAAAGGACGUCCGUUCCACAGAAGAACUCCAUUCGCGAAAAAGAAGGGCAAGAAGAUUGUGAACAGAUAGCUAGCUAGCUAAGAUCGAUGGUAUUUAAAUUGUAGUCUUCAUUUCUCGAUUGUAUUUCAUGGGCACUUUUUGAACUAUCAUGAAUAUUUUUAAAUUUCAUGGGCACUUUUUGAAUUCAUGAAAAAAUAUUGAAUAUUCAUGAGGACACUCGAUCUCGAUCCCCCUCCAUAUCAAUCGCUAUCCGCCCUCGCCAGAUCCCCCUUGCCAGAUCCCCCUCGCCACCGAGCAGCCCCCACGCCCUCCCCCACUCCACCACCGCCGACGACCCCCGCACCCUCCCCCGCUCCACCGUCACAAAUGAAUGCAACUAAAAAUCCAAAAAAACAAAUUUGAUUAUAUUUUCAAAAAACAUCAUAUUUUCAAAUAACAAAUUUGAUGAUUUUUUUAUAUUCAUAAAUAUUUUGAAAUAACAAAUCUGAUGAUAUUUUUUAGAAAAUUAUUACUAUUUUUAUAAAAAUUUAUUACUGUUUCAUAUUCAUAUUCAUUUUCUAAAAAAUUAUUAGAUGCAACAAAAUAAUAAUAAUAAUAAAAUCUUACUUAUGGCGCACAGCUGGCUGGUGCGCCAUUGCUAUCUAAAAAAAAGAAUACUUAUGGCGCACGGUCCCGCUGGUGCGCCAUUGCUAUAAAAAAACAUUCUAAUGGCGCACCGCCAUGGGGUGCGCCAUUAGUAAUCUUCCCCCAUCCAUACACUACGUCCCUCCCUGGUCCCUCCCUCUCACCAGACAGUUCGUCCCUCUCCCUCCACCGCGCCGCUCCCUCCCUCGUCCCUCCCUCCACCGCGCCGCGGUCGCCGCUGCCCCAACCCACUGCGCCACAGCCGCCCACGCGCCCCCGCCGCCUUCCUCUCCCCUUCCUCCCCCUCGAGCGCCGCCUCCCCCCUGAGCGCCGCCUUCCUUGAAACCCUAGAAACCCGCCGGAGGUUUGGAGCCUCGGAGCCGCCGGAGACUUGGAGCCUCGGAGCCGCCACACGUCCACUAGGAGAGGAGGCCCGCGACCUCCCGGCCCUCCAUCCCCGCCUCCCCCAAGCUCGUCGUCUCCGCUCCGACCACCACCUUAUCGUGGUCAGGUAACCCUCCUCCCUCUGCCUCUCUUCUCCUCUCUUCCUCCUCUCCUCCCUCCCGGCCAUGCCCUCUUCUUCUCUCUUUUGCUAGGUUUAGGUCAAAUCCCUCUCAAAUUUAGGUCAAAUUAGGUUCAAAAAAUUGUGGGAGUAGUGCCUAGCAAACAUGAAUAAUUAGUACUCCAUGUGCAUUGGAGUACUUGGUACCUGCAAGAUUUGGACACACUGAAAAAAUGCACUGGACACACUGAAGAAAAAUGCACUGUAUCAUGUAUUUGUCCAUGGUUUAUAGAUGGAAAAAUGCACUGGACACACUGAAGAAAAAUGCACUGUAUCAUGUAUUUGUCCAUGGUUUAAAGAUGAAAAUGAGUUAUUUUGCACUAGAGAAUAUAGUUGUGUAUGCUGUAACCUUGUUUUAACUGCAUCUUCGCACCUGUGAGUUUUCCAUCUUCUCUGCUACUCUGUUGGACAUUAACCAUUGCAAGCAGUGUGCUGUUACCACUAUCCUGCAAGGUAAGAGGCAUGUAGGACUGAAACUGGAUCCAGUCCUGUUUGCAACUAGAUACAGACUAAUUGCAAACGGUGCUCUUUAUUAUAUCCCAGUAAAAUAAAAUAUAGGAUAAAGUAUGUAGUGCUGGCUCCUGAGAAUGAGUAGAGCUAUGUAGUCUCUGCAAGCAACUUAAAGCCCCAGUAUUCAGUUGCUGGUCUGUUUGAGCAGUGGCAUCUUUAGCUGGUGAUCAUUAUCAGAUGAGCAGCUGCCUCUACUGAACCACAUUUAGCUAUGAACCACAUAUAGCUCACAUAAAACUGUCGCUUGCUAGAACAAACUCAGUGAUGUGCCUAGAAGCCCCACAUAACCAAAACAUGUCCUCUUAACUACUUCAAGUUCAGAACCAAAGGGGUUACAGAAAGCUGGACAACUCGAUGAUGAACACGUCCACAAGGAGCUAGCCUUGAAGGCAUUCCCUCAAGUCCCAAAGAAACUUGUCCACAAGGAAUUAAUACAGUUGUGUCUAAGAAACUCAACCAUCCCAUGAUUGGGAACUCCACAUUGCAAAUUCAAUACAUGCACUAGAAGUAGAACAUGAACAGUUGGCACACCACACACCAGAGGCAUCUGCUGUGAUACAUAACACAAGAUGGGUUUGGUGUGGUUCUAGUCAAGAGAUAUGGACUCUUAAUUACAAGUAAAUAUAGGGUUCAAGAUGAGUAUGUUGAUUAUCCAGGGCUGAAUCUUAAUUACAAGUAAAUAUAGGGUUUAAUUUGUGUUUGGGGUUGGAGCUGGGAAAGAGAGAGAGGGAUAGGAGGGGGGAGGGGAAAGAGAAAUGUUUAUUUUAGGGUUUAAUUAGGGCAGUGGCAUGGUGCCCAGCCCAGGUGAUAUGACUGUCACUGCAUGUUCAUGUUCAUGUUGAGAACCUGUCACAAUGCUUGACUUGAGUAUGUUUAAUCCUCAUUUUCUAUGCAUGCAGAACAUCUUAUUUCAGUAGUAGUGCUCUUUUGACAAAAAUGUUUUAGUUACUUUUGUAAGGAAAAAAUAGGUGCAUUUUAAGGAGAAUCGUACUGUCUGUGUACCUAAGUAGUACAGCAGCACUGCACGCCUAACAGAGUUGCACGAUAAUUAAACAUUAACAAGAGGUUGAUUUUCUUCUUUCUGUCCAACAAACAUGAUGGUGCCAGGUAAAGGUAUCUUUUCUGUGAAGUCAUGCAGAUUCGAUGAAUCUUCUCAUAUGUGCUUCUAUAUGAUUUUUUUUCUUUUUUCUCCUAUUGUUCUGUUAAUAACCAGAUCUGAUACCAGUGAGUUAGAUUCCCAUGCAUGCAUGAGCUGGCUGAUAGACAAAGACAAGUAAGCCAGGCCUCAAGACAAUGCAGCUUAAUCAAAUUAAACUCAAGAUUCUGGUGUUUAACCCUGUUGUGCUGCUUCUAGAUAUAAUAUUUUUUUGAACCGGGCAUUACCCCUUUCCAUUACUAAGAACGGAAAUACAAACCAGUUCAAGAUAACAGGAGGAGGGAAAGAGGGUAGAGCGGGUUCAAGCAUUACCAGGCACUACUAGGGAAAAGCCUAUACACAAAAUCUUACCAGCAGCGCGCUUUAAAAUCAGGCGCUGCUAAGUAGCAGUAGCGCGGGCCAUAGAAACUUGCUGAUGAAACAAGUUUAUCAGUAGCGCGUGCACUCCAACAAGCGCUACUGCUAAAAUUCCCACGACGCCGCCGUGAGGCCAGUUAUAGCAGCAGCGCGUUAAACUAAACAGCGCUACUGCUACAUAAUGUAGCAGUAGCGCAUUCAGGCAAUAAUCACUACUGCUAAAUUAACUACAAAAAUUUAGUCCUACCUCGCUCCGUGAAGAGAGUUUUACCCACCUUAAGUAUGUUUCUUCUACAACUUUCACAAGCACUUGGUCUUUAUUGAACUCUAUGUGUAGGAUCUGUGGCCGCAAUAGGAAUCCUCGUCAGUUCUUAAACCAACCGGCGAGGAUUCCUAUUGACAAAUCAGAUUGUACACAAAAAGACCAUUGAUGAUCAAUGUAUUUUUUAUGUCUAUGUCUAUUUUUACAUACUGACACAUAGCAGUAGCGCGUUCACGCCGAAAGGCGCUACUGAUAGGUCGUUUAGCAGUAGCGCAUUUCCCUAUAGCGCAGUACUGCUAUGCCAUUCCACCCCCCACUCACUAGCCUCAUCCACAGAUCACACUCACACACACUCACUCGGUCUCCUCCUCACCCCCCGCGCCGCCGGUCCUCCCCCGUCGCCCCUCCCCCGAUCUGCGCCGCUGUCGCCUCAUCCUCCUCGCUGGACUCGGUACCGGCCUCCUCCUCUGUCCUCCCUCCACUCGCCGCUGGCCAGCCCCUCCUCGCUCCGCCUUCCUCCUCGAUCCGUCCUCCCUCCACUCGCCGCCGGCCGCCCCCUCCUCGCUCCGCCUUCCUCCUCCGUCCUACUAUCUUCUCCCUCCUCGAGUCGCCCCUCCUUGUCCCUCCUCCCUGAUACAUUUUGAUUUAGUAGGCUUUCAUAUGUAACAUUUUGAUUUAGUUGAUAUGAUUCAGUUGAUUUAUUAGGCUAGUUGAUUUAGUUGAUUUAGAACAUUUUGAUUUAGUUUAUUUAGUAGGCUAGUUGAUUUAGUUGAUUUAGUAGGCUAGUUGAUUUAGAACAUUUUGAUUUAGUUGAUUUAGUAUGCUAGUGGAUUUAGUAUGCUAGUUGAUUUAGUUGAUUUAGUAUGCUCGAUUUAGUUUUUUUGUAAUAAGUUAUUUUUUGGCAAAAUGUAGGUGCCAAUUUAAUUAAAUUUGCCACUUGUUUGUUUAAACAAUUAUCUUAGGCAAUAGGGGCCAAAUUAGGAUUAUAAUUGUCCAUAAAAUUGUUUUAGGAAAAUGGCACCACCACCAGCACCACUAUGUCGACUGUGCAAGUCAAGGUGCGCCAGCAGCCUUGCAACUGGCAAGCUAUUCGGCAUCUACUUCCAUCCGAGUUUUCGUCAUGCGGCGGUAAGAAAUUAGAUGAAAUGUAACAACUAUUUUAUUUUUAGUGUUGGCAUUACUGCAUUGUGUCAUUUUGCUUUUCUUACACAGAUCGUCCCAUGCAAUGUGAGGUGGAAAUUCAACAAGCUGACAGGAGACACUGUGACAUUUGAGGCUCCUGGGGGGCCGUACACUAUGGAGGUCGAGAAAGGACGCAAUAUGUCGCAGAUUGGAGGAGAUGGAUGGGCCCGUUUCCUCGCUCGCAUGCGUGUUACUGGUGGUGAGUUGAUCAGAUUCUCCUUCAGAGCAGAAAGACCCAAGCUGGUUUUCAUUUAUAUCAACCUGGUGGAAGAUGAUGAAGAUGACGAAGAUGAUGAAGAUAAUGAGGACCCACUCAAUGAAGAUGAUGAGAACCCACUUCAUGAAGCCAUUAUAGCUCAAAGAAUGAGGCUGAGCGAGGAGGAGGUGUGCAACCUAUGGGACAUAAUUCCGCCACGUGAUGACUUUGUCGGGGUGCCAUUCGUGACCCGCCUGACAAGUACCAUGGUCGAUCGGCAUGAAAUGGUAUGUUAUACGUACUGCAUGUAGUAAUUUGAUGAUAUAUAUAUGCUUUAUUGUUAUACUUACAAAUGCAAAUUAUCCGAUUAUAUGCUUAGUGAAUCCGAUGAUAUGCUUAGUGUAGAGUCCAAUGAUAUGCUUUGUGGAAUCUAGUGGAUGAUAUACUUUAGUGUAGAGGCUGAUCACAUGCUUAUUAGUGUAGAAUCCAAGAAACUAUUAAUAGUGUAGAUAAUCCAUAUAUACUUAUUAGUAGAAUUCAUGAUUAAUUACAACAAAUACGCAGUACUGUGUCUUUUGAUAGUGUAGAAAUCUAGACUUAAUAGAAAUAUAUUUGCAAGAGUAUGUGUGAGGCUAUUUAUUAAUUGAUAUGUUUUUCUUAUUCGGAGAUUGCCAAAGAACCUAUCUGUGAGUUGUGGUAUCGAGCUUGAUGAAGAAGGCUCAGUUGGACUACGCCUUACCGCAAGGGGCUCCGUCACCACCUGUACUUACUGCAUGGACACAGAUGGUCGCACACACUUGAACUCGGUUGGGUGGAAGAGAUUCCUCGUUGGCAAAAAUCUUCGUGUUGGACAGGCCAUCCUAAUUACUAUCAGGAACACCCACCGCCCAGGCUUAAGGAUGAUGAUCGUCGUCGAUAUCAUCUAGAACUACAUAUGUGUGUGUGGCUAUAUCAUCUAGAACUACAUAUGAUGAUCGUCGUCGAUAUCAUGUAGAACUACAUAUGAUGAUCGUCGUCGAUAUCAUCUAGAACUAAAUAUGAUGAUUGUCGUCGAUGUCACCUUGUACUGCUUGAGGAUGCAUGUUGAGUAUAUAUGAAAUUGUUAUCUAGUACUCCCUCGGUUCAAAAUUACUCGUCGUGGUUUGAGUUCAAAUUUGAACUAAAACUACGACGAGUAAUUUCGAACCGAGGGAGUACUACAUAGUACCUAUAAUGCUUUAUGAAAUUGAUAUCUAGUAGUACCUAGUAUCUGGAAAUUGCAGUUUAUCGAAGCUGGAAUGGGGAAAUGGUGAAAGAUAUAACAGUAGCGCGGGACCAGGAAAUCGCUACAGCUAACUAAUAGCAGCGCGUUCCUGAAAAGCGCUACUGCUAUAGUCAAUAGUAGUAGCGCUGGUACAGGCAGCGCUACUACUAAGAGUUAGCUGUAGCUCCUUAUUGGUAGCGCGGGCACCCGCGCUGCUGAUAGGCCUAAAACCCGCGCUGCUGCUAGCCUUUUCCCUAGUAGUGAGGAAACCCACCACAUCCGCCCGCCGUCGAAACGGAUGUCAUGGGGCGAAAACCUGGUAACACUAAUAUCAAGUCUAUUACAGGCAACCAAAAGAACGACCAGACAGAGGCAAACCACACAUCAGACCGCCCGAAUUGGCAGAACUAGACAAAAGUAUCAGAUGACGAAAAGGGACAGAGAAGAUAUCCUCCAGCUCCGGCCACGCGCAGGGCCACACCUUGGACUUCAUGUCUAGAUCGUUUGCUUGACGGAGUCACACAGUUUCAUCAGCUGCAGCGUGCCGUUCCUGAUCAUCUCUGCACCUGCGCGAAGUUCUCUAGCCGCCUCUCCUUUCUAUAAACCUGUCCAGUACAAAAGAAAUGAACAAAGGGAGAAAACAAUCUCAAAAGGAGUCUUAAUCUGUUUUUUCUCAAAGGUAGCACGAUUACGCGCCAGCCAGAUGGCCCAACAAGUAGCAGCUAAACCCACAGUAUAGAAGGUAUCUUUGCCAGGAAGAAAUUUACUGCACUAGACGAAAUACUGCCAAUAGUUGUUAGGGCACAUAUCAGUGCCUAGCACCACCCCAACAGAUCUCCAAACCACCCUAGCAACGGGGCAGGUGAAGAAAAGGUGGUUAGAGAUUUCUACCUCCCUGCAGAAAGAACAGCAAGGAUUCCCUGGCCACUUUCUCUCCCUCAUCACUUGUGUCGUGAGCACUGCAUCUCGGGAUAACUGCCAUAAAAAGAUUUUGAUUUUAAGAGGAAUUUUUGCUUUCCAUAUCCACUUAUAGUUACACCCAGCGAGGGGGUUUUCCAACAUCUUAUAGACAGAUUUCGUGGAAAAGUUGCCGUUCUGGUUAAGCCCCCAGGAGAUUUUGUCACCAUCACCACUCUUAGCAAGAGGGAUGUUAUUAGUGAUAGAUCGCAACGCUUCCCACUGCUUAAGCAGAUCAGGGGUAAGCCUGCGCCUAAAGAAAGAGCUGGCAUUGUUGCCGGCCAACUUGUUCACAGAAGAAUCUGGAAAAUUACAGAUAUCAAACAACUGAGGGAACUGAUCCUGAAGAGAAGGAGACCCAUUAAUCGAGUCUUUCCACAUCCUAGUGAUGUAUCCUUUUUUUGUUUCUAUUUUUCUGCCCAACAUAUAUACAUUUUUUACUUUAAGCAAAGAUUUCCAGCAAGGUGAGUCAGAAAAUCUGGCAGUAAUAUCCGCAACAGUUUUGUUGCAAAGGUAUCUGGCCCGGACUAUAUCCUGCCAGAGUCCUUUUUGCGUUUCAAGUUUCCACCACCAUUUAACCAUUAAGCUAAUGUUUUGUUUUCGCAGAUUUUUGAUACCCAGACCUCCCUUGUCCUUGGAUCUGCAAAUUCUACUCCAUCUCACAAGGUGGUAUCUCCUUUUCUUAUUACACCCUUGCCAGAAGAAUCUCCUUCUGUGUUUAUCUAGUCUCUCAAUAAAAGUUUUAUUCAUAAGACACAUCGACAUAUGAUAUAGAGAGAUUUGAGUAACCACGGAAUCUAGCAGGGUAUGUCUCCCACCCAUCAAAGCCGCAUUACCUAUCCAGGUCUCAAAUCUCUUCAGGUAUUUACUCACAAUGAACUCCCAAUCAGAGUUUUUCAGGUUUGCAUAACUCACAGGCAUGCCCAAGUAUUUAAUGGGAAAGCUGCCUAUCUCACAGUUAAACAGCUUCGCAUACUUUUUCAUAGUAUUUUCAUCCCCCCCCCCCCACGGUGGGGAUUUCACUUUUCUGGAAGUUCACUUUUAACCCAGACAUCAUUUCAAACAGAUAUAGCAGCAACUUCAGGUUAACCGCCUUAUCGAUAUCAUCCUCCAAGCAAAUGAUGGUGUCAUCUGCGUACUGCAGAACAGCCACCACUUCAGGAAUAAGGUCAUAUGCCAGACCUGUGAUCAACUUAUUAGUUUAGGCGUUUUUAAUCAUUUUGGUGAGGCAUUCCACAGCCAAGUUGAACAGGAAAGGAGAGUGGGGGUCGCCUUGGCAGACCCCUUUAGCACUUUGAAAGUACGGCCCCGUACAGUUAUUCAACUUGAUGCUAACUGUCCCCUCGUAUAGUAUUUGUUUAAUCCAUCCAUACCAGGUUUCAUUAAAACCACGCAUUUUAUGACAUUCAAGAAGGAAGUCCCAGUUUACUUUGUCAUAGGCUUUUUCGAAGUCAAGUUUAAGGACAAUCCCCGCUUUUUUCUUGACAUGUGUAUAGUUAAGGAUCUCAUGGAGUGAUAGCACACCAUCCAUGAUGUCUCUCCCUUUCACAAAAGCAUUCUAGGUGAGGCUGAUGAGUUUAUCAGCGUAUAUAGCAACCCUACGGUCGAGUACUUUAGUUAUGAGCUUAUAGGGGCAACGAAGUAGACAGAUAGAUAUAAAUUGAUGGAUUCUCUCAGCACUAGACACUUUAGGCAGAAGGGUAAUAAUCCCAUAAUUGAGGCAUUUCACAUCAAGCUUACCUUGAUGGAAGUGGUCAAAAAGGGCCAUAAUAUCGUCCUUGACUAUAUCCCAACAGACCUGAUAAAAUUCCACAGGAAUAUUAUCAGGUCCGCGCUCUGUUUGGGGCCAUGUCAAACAGAGCAGCCUUAACUUCCUGUUCUGUAAAUUCUCGACAAAGAUCCACAUUAUCUUCCGCAGAAAGUUUCUCAUUAUCAGUCCACGUCUCAGGACUAAUAUGAAACAAAUUGCCAGGGGCUGGGCCAAAAAGAUCUUUGUAAAAAGUAGUGGCAUGAGUAAUCAGAUUAUCAGUGCCCUCUACGGUAAUGUCAUCCCCCACUUUAAGAGAAUGGAUGGUGUUUUUACGCUUUUGGCCAUUAGCGAUCUUAUGAUAGUAAUCUGUGUUUAGAUCUCCUUUAAGGAGCCAACGCUCAUGUGAUUGUUGCAGCCAGAAGAUCUCUUCAUUGACAAGCAGCUCAUGCAACUCGAAGUUGGCAUCCAUCUUCCUACUGUAAAGCGCAGGAGGAAGUGGUCCAUCUUCUUCAAGCUCUUCGAGUAUGGAUAACUCCAUUCUAAGGUCCUCUUUCCUCUUUUUAUUAUGGCCAUAUCGAUCGGAGCCCCACCCUUUGAAAAAGGUUAUGAAUCUUUUUAGUUUGAUAUUCAGGAUGUCAAUGGGGUCAGAAGAUUUAACUUUUCUAGUCCAGAUCCGACUGACUAGCGGCAGGAAACUAUCGUCUUUAAUCCAGGAAAGAUCAAAACAAAACUCCCUUGGUUUAGGGGCAUCUCUCCCCUCCUCACCCGUGGACAUAAGCAAAGGAUUGUGAUCAGAGAUCUCACGAACUAGUUUUCGAACAGAGACAAGCGGAAACAUGUCUUCCCAAUCUUCAGACAUAAGGAUGCGAUCCAGUUUUUCCAAAGUGGGGUGGGCCUGUUGGUUCGUCCAGGUAUACUUACCCCCAUUAAUGUGGAUCUCACGAAGAGCCAAGGUAUUGAUGAUAUAAUUAAACAGGUCCGAGGAUUUAUGAUUACUAAGUUUCUUAUUCUUUUCACCAGAAUGUCUCAGGAUAUUAAAGUCGCCCCCAACAAUGUAGGGUACUUGCAUCCCAAUGCAAGUGGCGGCUAGUUCGACCAGAAAGUCCCCUUUCAGUUCUUCAUGAGCUGGACCAUAAACUACUAUCAACCCCCGCUUCAAAUUCUUAGGUUUGUCCAGCAACACUAGUUGCAACAUAUGUCUCCCCUUGACGGUGUCCUGGACUAGGGGGUACUCACCACGUCGUCUCCCGAUCUAUUAGAUUGGGCCGAGGACCCCCGUGGCCGUAUACUCAUGGGCCAGUUCGGACGGCUACCGCAUACAAGGGAGAUUCCACAAGACUUGGCGAUCAAGACAAGGACUUCUCCCCACCGGCGUAUUCGGCUAGGACUUUUGUUAUCCUAGGCCUCCGGUGCAUUAUAUAAACCGAGGCCAGGCUAGUCGAUAGAUAUACAACAUAUACAUACAAUCAUACCAUAGGCUAGCUUCGAGGGUUUUAGCCUCCUUGAUCUCGUGGUAGAUCUACUCUUGUACUACCCACAUCAUCAAUAUUAAUCAAGCAGUAGUAGGGUUUUACCUUCAUCGAGAGGGCCCGAACCUGGGUAAAAACAUCGUGUCCCUUGUCUCCUGUUACCAUCCGCCUUGACGCACAGUUCGGGACCCCCUACCCGAGAUCCGCCAAUUUUGACACCGACAUUGGUGCUUUCAUUGAGAGUUCCGCUGUGUGAUCGACAAAAGGUCGAUGGCUCGCCUGCAGAUCAACUGCGACUUCGGCAUUUUCGUCACCAGCUCGACUGGUCACCUUGGUUCGACCAAGAAUUGUGCCCCGUGUUCGGAUCACCAUGUUUGGACGAGGGACUUCAUCAAACAUCAACUCCGAUCUCUAGCAAGAUCACGGAGGAAUCAUAUAUGGAGCUCGGGGGCUCAACGUCAACAUUGCCCUCAGGCAACCGUGCUGUUUUUUAGACAACGAACUUGUAUCUGCCGCCACCACCUCCUCGAGUAUUGCUUUGACGAUCGCUUUGGUGGAAUUGUGCGGAAUUGAGUCUAUAACAAUCCUGGAAAAUUUCGUCGAGUUCCGAUGGAGGAAUCUCUGGCAAUCCACGAUAUACCGGAGCCCUGUCAAAUCUGGACGGGAAAUUGGAUGAGUUUAGAGCGUGGUGUCCAGCUUCUAGCUCGGACGUCCUUUGGAAGAUCCAACUGUUGAUCGGCUGCGGAAUUCCUAUAUCUACCACCUCUCAAAAUUUCAGCUCAAUCCGACCGUCCAAACUCCGGGAAACUUCUGAUUAGUGCAUCACUUUUCGGAUCUGUUUUCUGCGCGAAAACGAAUCCGACCCGAGUUCAUCUUUUUUAUGAACGGGAUUUCGAACAUCCUUUUUGAAGGAAGUUUUGUAUGGGGUAUUGUUUUUUUUCCCGAACACAUCCCACUAACUUUAAGAUCUUUUGAACAUGAUCUUCAACAUCAGGCUGGUGUCAAACCAGUCCGGCAAUAUUACUCCACGGCUACUGACCUGCGCUAGACACGUCGUCACUUUAGCCGAGCUCAACUUCUUCGGAUCAUCAUCUCGGCAAGCCGAACAAGAGUCCGGCAUCACGAAUGAUAAAUCAUCAUCAACAUCACCGCCCCAUGGAUUACACGGAGCGGGCAUAUCAACAUCGCCGCCUGGUUGCUUCAUCAAGCCAGCAUUUACCACGUCACGACCUGCAUCGACAGGGCCACACUUUUGCUUCUUUAAGCUGGUGUCCAUCACGUCGACCUACUUCGACUCAUCGGCUGACAUCGAGGCUUCAACAUCUCGGCUGGAUCGGGGGCUUCGCCAUCUCUUCAUCAACCUACUCGGGACACUUGCGUCACUAGCCGACCAGCUCCGUCACGUUAGCUGGGCCGAGGGCUUUGCCUCGGCGAGUCAACCUUUACUAGUAUUGCCAUGCCAUCGUUUUAUCGCCCAUCAGGCAAUGGGUGUGCGGAGCGGGUCCCAAUUUUAGGAAUCACCUUCCUUCGGAUUGCUACAACAAAUAAACCAGGUGCUAUUAAUCCCAGUAUUUUUUGCUUGUUUGGGUUCAUUUUUCCCAAGGAAUUAUCACUCUGGUUUGUCCGUCAUAUGUACAUAGGUCUAUCAAAUGGUGGCUACAUUAACGACAGUCGCAUGGUGGUUCGGUCAGUUUCCGUACAUAGUCCGGCGAACGCCGCACUUGGAGCUCGGACCGACUUGCGAAUUCAGGCUUUGCCACGCCCUUAUCGCAUCACGCCGACGCCCUGCAUCGACUUGACUUCGGCGCCAGGCCAUAUUUCUUUUAUUACUCACUUUGCAUAAACUAUUUAUUAUGCAACGAUUUUUUUUAAUUAUCAUUAUUACUAUUAUCUCCGAUUUGCACUAUUUUUUGUGCACAGGAAAAUGAUCCGGGGACUUCGGCGUCACUCUGCUGGUCUGCAUUGACCGUGCUAUGUCACCACUUCGGCGUGUCGAGCUCUUCGCUCCGCCACCUCGGGACCAGCUUGGGGGAUGGAACCUUGCCCCGCAUCAAGCUCGGACAGCAUCAUCAAUACCGAACACAUUAACUAGCUAAGUCGCUUUCAUGCUCAAAGCUUUAAUUUCUAAUUUGUGUUCGGUUCGACCAAGAAUUAUACUUUUUUGGAAAAAAGUUGCUUGUAAAUUUUUUUCCUUGUCCAAUCUUUGUUUAUGACGCAUAAAUUCAAAUACCCUGUUUACUUGGGGGCUUCCUUUAUGAAGCUUUUCUUCUUGCAUAUGAUUAUACUUGUACGGCUUCGUUCCUUGUUCGUGUAUUACGCCACAAUAUGCACCAUAUUGACUUAAGCGAUUUGCAAGCUGGGUUGCCUCGCUCCUGUGUUUACCCCUACGUUCCCGAUUGUUCAGCUAGGGAGUAAAGGGAGCACCUCUACGAUUGUCACGAUCGGGUCGCCCGAGCCGGACCUCAGACUAGGUAAAGCUGAAAGCUAGCGCUCUUAUAGUUUUCAAUGAUGGUCGGCACACAACGAAACUCAUGAGUACAAAAAAUCUAUUGCACAAGUCUCAUAAUAACAAUGAGCACCGAAGAAAGGUAUCGGUGGGGGUACUAUUUUCUUCGAAGAUGCUUCUUACACCUCACGGUAAUAUAGCAUAAGUUCCCUGAGCGCGCUUUAUCUGUUACAGCCUUAUGGCCUGAUUGCCUGGUUAUUGGAAACACCAUCGAUAUUCUCGACCGAUGGAGUACAUAACACUUUUUGGUCCUUGACCGAAGAGGGAGAAGAUGACGGUCGGUUAAGACGCGUUUAAAGUUCGGUUGAACAUAGAUAUGAUAUAAGUACUUCGGUACAUGCAAUCAUUCUUAUACCCAAGUCACUUGGGGGCUCUUAAGUUUAUUCGAGCCGUUUUAUAAUAAGUGUUCUUCUUCUUAGUCGUUGCAAAGUUUUAUUAUUAUUAUUAUUGUUAUUUAUCACUCCUUUUUUCGAUACGAUUGUGCGGCCACUAGCCGGGAAGCCUAAUUUCUCUCUCAAAGCCGCUAGAGUUUAGUUUGCUAAACUGGCCUGAUGAGAAGUACUUCGCCCUCGGGAUAGGAGGUUGAAGCCAUAGGCUGACCCGCCCGAAGUCUUGAGAUAGGAUGUAUCAUGUUAAAGCACGACAGAAGCACUUCUUUUUUCUAAGACCAACUUUCGAAUUGGCACCGAACACUUGAUAUUGUUCGGACGUCAUGUUUUUACUGAUGUUUCUUGGCUUUCCAAGCUUUUUGGCACUUUUAAACUAUUUGUGCUUUUCCAGCAUUAGUCUCACAGUGCAACGCCGGACACCUUUAGGGAUUCGGCAAAAACAUUCUCAGAUAUUGCUAUAUAUGCAUCGGUUUUGAAUUGUGUCUUCGGUCAAUAGUUGGGUUGCCCGGCUCCUGCACUUGCUUCCUACGUUCCUUUUGUUCGGCUAGGCGUGCAAAGGGAGAACCACUGCGAUUGUGCUUCCAGCUCACAUGGUUAAGCACCUCAGUGGAGAAAGCCGAAAACUGACUGUCACAAUAAGCGUAAACUGGUCAGCGAUCCGAUGACUAUGUUAAAUGACGGGCCGUUCAUAACAUUGGCCGAAGUGUUUACAGCUUGACCCCGACUGUCGCCGAACACUACCGGGGGCUAUUAACUGACCUCCCAAACUAAAUCCUCGAUAUUUUGCUCUUACAUUAGAGCUGAGGUUUAAUGAUCAUGCUUAGCAUGACAACCCAAAGAAAGGAACCGAUAUCGGGACUAUUUUCUUUGGAAGACAUUUCUUCUGUUAAACAGUAACAUAACAUAUCUCUCUGCAUACCUUUGUUUAUAAAACCGUAUGGCCAGAUUGCCUUGUUUGUUGUAAAUCUUUGCCCUCAUAAAGGCUUUAUAAAGUAGGACAAACACUCCUCGGCUAUUGGCCGAGGAGGUGGAAGCCGAUGGUCGGUCAACAAAGUUUUGUACAAUGCGGAUCCGAGCAUUAAUGACGUAAAGUACUUGGAUACAUAGAGUCAUUACACAUAAUUUGUGAUUUUACUAUGGAUAUUGAUCCUUAAUUCGGCCACCCGUGCCCGCAUUAAGGCUCGGGGGCUACUGGGCUUCGGGCUUAUUAUUUACAAAUAUUAAAGGGGCACAUCGAUCCCUUGAUCUGGUGUUGCCACCCGACCAGUGUCUCGGUGGCUAUUGCAUUGCUUGUCCAAUGCAGAGAAUUUUAUGUGCAAUAUAAUUUCCGAGGAGAUUUUGAUCCUCAGGUUGGUCGGCCGCACCCAACCUGAGUCUCGAGGACUGAGCAUGCCGCUUUUAGUGUCCCGAAGUAUUCUGCCGAGCUUGGACUUGAUCCUCAGGCCGAUUUUGCAAAUCAACCUGAGUCUCAGCGGCUACUAGGAUCAGCGGUCUUACGUCAUCCUUCAGGUGCAUCUCGGAUUUUAGACCGAUACACACCUUGAGGGCUACUGGCUAUAUAUCUCAGCAGAGAAUAAAUUGCACCAACAAAAAAUAUUCACAAAAAUCGGCCCACAUUCGGGGUGGUGCACCACCUCGGAAGCAGUCAGGCAUAAAGAUCGGGCGCUAGUGGCUGGCUCCGUAGAGGGCUUUUCCGGCAUUAAGCUCGGCUAAACUCCUUCAACUUUUUUGAACCAAGGUGAUAUGACACCUCGGAUAUAGUCCGGCGUUGGAGCUCGGAUACAUAGUUCGGCGUUGGAGCUCGGAUACAUUCCGGCGUUAGAGCUGGGAAGCGGUCUGGCGUUGGUGCUCGGCUGCAAAAGAUACCUCGAAUGCAGUCCGGCGUUGGAGCUCGGACGCAAGAGGACCCUGCCUCCUGGGAACAACUUCAAACCCAAGGUGUGGCAUAAAAAUAAACAAGGCAUUGAUAAAGGCCGGAAACUUAAAGGGGCUCCUCGGAUACCCGACGUGUAAACUUGUCGAAUGCAUUUCAGCGAUCCUCAAGAUCGAAGAUAAAGAAGAUUUGUUGAACUAGUUUUCAAGACUAGCAACCGAAGAUGAAGAACAGUUCGGAAGAAUCGAGGAGCGUCCCUAACUUGAAGACCGGUUCAGGGGGCUACUGACGGUGUCCUGUACUAGGGGGUACUAACCACGUCGUCUCCCGAUCUAUUAGAUUAGGCCGAGGACCCACGUGGCCGUAUACUCAUGGGCCAGUUCGGACGGCUACCGCAUACAAGGAAGAUUCCACAAGACUUGGCGAUCAAGACAAGGACUUCUCCCCACCGGCGUAUUCGGCUAGGACUCUUGUUAUCCUAGGCCUCUGGUGCAUUAUAUAAACCGAGGCCAGGCUAGUCGAUAGAUAUACAACAUAUACAUACAAUCAUACCAUAGGCUAGCUUCGAGGGUUUUAGCCUCCUUGAUCUCGUGGUAGAUCUACUCUUGUACUACCCACAUCAUCAAUAUUAAUCAAGCAGGAGUAGGGUUUUACCUCCAUCGAGAGGGCCCGAACCUGGGUAAAAACAUCGUGUCCCUUGUCUCCUGUUACCAUCCGCCUUGACACAUAGUUCAGGACCCCCUACCCGAGAUCCGCUGGUUUUGACACCGACACCCCUUAAUACAGUAGAUGAUAUCAAGCUUGUCACAUCUCACACCAUAAAGGAUGCCGCCAGAUUUUCCAGCAGAAGGGAUCCAGUUCCAAUGGAAGGAUCCAAAGGGGUCAAUUCUCCUCAAGCACUUGGGGGAGAAAUUUUUCUUCAUAGUUUCUUGGAGACCCAGGAAAUCAACGGAAUGGUCACUAAUCAUGUCGGAGAGGCAGGUGGCCAUCCCUUUCUUGCCCACCCCUCGACAAUUCCAAAUGAGGCCUCUCAUUUGGAACGCUUCUUGUGAAAAUUGGACCGAGUAACCCUACCAGGAGGCAUUGUAGGGUUACGGAUUAUAUCUGUCUCUAGGGCACAACUUUUUUGACUUCUAGUCACAGGUCUAGAAAUUAUAUAAAAGCUGUGAAAAAGAAAUCUGUGGAGUUGGCACUUUACAUAAGGUUGUAGAUCAUUGUAGUGUCCUAAUGUCUAAGACUGUUGCAUUGGAGGUUCAUCUUGCAAACAUAUCAGAACUUGCAAACAUUUUAUUACUUGUUGCAUUGGAGGUUCAUCUUGUCUUGAGGCAAACAAAUCAGCAUUGGAGGCUCAUCUUUGAGGAUCAUCUUUAUUACAUAUCAGAACUUGCAAACAAAUCUGUGAAAGACUUGUAAAGUUGCUGGGUUUUGUCUCCGACCAUUGUGUCGUGAUGAAUUUGCAGGUACCCCGAGAGGCCCUUGAGUUUGCCGGAAUGUCGAUUAACUUCCGCUUCGGCAAAUUCGGGUACUCCAUAUGUCCUAUUUUCAGCAAAGGUCAUGCUGAAAUUUUCCGUGAAUUUUAGCAUGACUUUGCUAAAAAUAGGACAUAUGGGGUACUUGCGACUAAUGCAUGGGCCGGGGUAUCUUAGUACUUAGUUAAGUAGGAUCUACUGCCCCGCCAUUCUUGCUGCAUUAAACCAUAGGUGGCAAUAGAGCCAAGUGAUUAGGCCCAACUUAGAAUUCUCCUUAGCAUCGAUAAACCCUAGAUGAUAAACCCAACAUAGGUGGCAAUAGAGCCAAGUGAUUAGUGCCAAGUGAUUAGGCCCAACCUAGGGUGCCUCGGCAUCGAUAAACCCUAAAUGAUGAAAACUUAACUUGGCUUCUAUAGGGUGCCUCGGUGUCGAUGAGAACCUAAAUGAUGUACGCUUAGGCUUUUAGGGUGCCUCGGCGUCGACAAACCCUAAAUGAUAAAAGCUUAGCUUUUAGGAUGCCUCGGUGUCAACAAACCCUAAAUGAUGAGACCAUGAUCUUGUUCCUUGACAAUAACCAACUUUUUGACCAAACUUUUUUCCUAUUUAGAGCGAAACAUGACCCACAACAAUGAGGCCGGCGGUUCGGGCGGCAAGCAAUUCUGGGAGCUGUCCCAGGAGUUGGAGGAAGAACCUCACCGCUAUGAGGACGCUGCGAAAGACACCGAUCCUGACUACACAACCCCUAGUGGCGUCGGGGAUGACACCACUAAUGGUGCCGCCGAGGAUGCCACCACUGAUGAUGGCGGCGCACACACAAAUGGCAGCCAACCGAAGAGGCAACGGAAAGACCGGCGCCCGAGCGUGCUCGGCACCGUCAAGGAGGAAUUUACUGAAGUGAACUCCGACGGACAUUCGACGGUGCCCAAAAAAAUAGUCAAGGGGUACUCGGUUCAGCUCAAGUGCAUUCUCCGGAGCACCAUAUCAAUCAACACCGAGAACCUAAGGCAUAAGGACCGAGGGAAUUUGCGCAGCCUCCUCUUCACGAAGCUGCACGAACGAUACAAGUUCCCCGCUGAGUUUGCAAACACACGCCUCUCAGGGAAUAAAGUGAACAGUGCCGCCCUCACGAGGAUGAGCACGGCCCUGUCUACUUGGAGAAGCACGGUGAAGGCAAUGAUUGAAAAAGGUGAUAGUUAUGAGAAGAUCAAGGCGAAAUAUCCUUUGAUGAGCGAAGAUGACUACAAGGAAUUCAAGAUCAAGUGCGAGAGCAGCGCAACCUCCGAAUCAAGUCAGUGGGGGAAAGAAAUGCGGAAGUUGAACUUAGAGGUCCACCAACUCGGUCCCGGCGGUUACAGAGUGGCAGAGCCUAUAUGGGACAAGGAGGACGCGGAGCGUGCCGAGCAAGGCCUACCACCCCGCUUCGACAAAUACCGUGACAAGCAGACCAGGAACUUUCUCAGGGCCCGGUACAAGGAGGACCCGGUAACAAAGGAGCUUACCACGGAUCUGAAGACCAGAGCGCUUGAGCUUAUUCUGGUAAGGAAUACACCCCCACGUAAUUAGCUCCAUAUGGUUGCAUUCUAAUUAAUCCCCAAUAUUUCUAAAUGGUUCACGUUCCUUCCGCAGGACAAUGAAAGCAGUAGCGCGGGGUCGUCUCAGAGUUCCCCUUUUGACACCCCUUUAAAUAGGGCGUUCAACGUAAUGAAAAACAAGGAUAAGCUUAGUAAGCCGACGUCAGCUGGUCGUGUGGUCGGCAAAGGCUUGUCCACAAAAUGGUCGUCAUACUAUACCGCUGGUGGGCGAAAGGAGAAAAAGACCAGCUCGGAAAGCCAGUCGCGCGAGGUUGAAGCACUCAAGGCACAAGUGGCGCGGAUUCCGGAGAUUGUUCAAGAGCAAGUGGAACAACAACUGGGAACGAAGCUCAACGCCAUGGUGCCUACGUUAAUUCAUGGGCUGACGACGUGGAUUGCGGGCGGCCAACAUGGGCCUCCCCCGGUUUCCAGCUUCACGGCCAGCAACUCGCACAAUGCGCAGGCGGCGCCAUUGGUGUCUCUGGCGGCACCAUUGGUGUCUCCGGCGGAGGCGGUAUUCGUGUCUCCGGCGCCGGCACGGGCAUUGGAGCUUAAUGCACCCGGGUGUACGCCGGCCGGCACCUCGCCAGCAAGCGGCCCCUCUGUCAGUUGCACGCCCGCCGUUGGCGGUGCCUCGACAUUAGCCGAGCUCGACGACAUCACGGUAACUAAGCCUCUCGGCCGAUGACUUCAUCUCCCUGCCUUUGACUGGGCAUCCCUGACGCCCUACAUGUUUUCGCAGGGCACCGCCGAUGUUCCUUGCACUCUCCUGCACUUCGUGGGCGGCGAGUUGGUCGAUGUCGCCAAGGGCAGAAUCAUUCAACCGGGCAACCCCGUGUUCCACGGUAAUCCGAUGCCACCCACAGUGGUAUAGGGUUGAAGUGGUUCGGGUGCUGCCAGGCUGCGACGAGCUAUUACCUCCGAUUUGACCCGCUGGGGCCGACGAAGAAGAUGAGAUGACCCUCAGCGCCUGCGUAAGCUGGCCCCUGCUUUGGCCGAAGAGCCAGAUUCGUUUGGGGACGGGGGACACCACCCCACAGACAAGACCGCCAGACGUGCCGGCACCAAGCCAUGGCAAGAACGCCGCAACGCUACCGGACCUGCCGGACAUCCCUAUGGCACAGGAUCCGGACAUGCAUAUGGCACAGGAUCCAGACGAUGACGACAACGACGACAGUACAUUCACCAACGUCAAUAAGUACUUUGCCGAACAUGGGUACGGUGACGAGUUCUGCGGGCCUCCUUCUCAAGAACCCAACCAAGACGACCACGAUCUAGCUGGUACGGCGGAGAAACCCAGUUGCAACAGGCGUCGUCUCGCGUUCAGUUCUCAGAAGACUCCGCCAGCUGCCGCCUUCACCGAGCCUCAGAUAGCUGAGGUGCGAAAUAUUAUCAGCCCCAACACGCUCAAGAAGGCGGUCUGUGAGCAGAACUCGGUCCCAUUAUAGCAGAUCAAGAAGAAGGGCCGGAAACGGAAGACUAAAAAGGGCGCCGGUGCGAGCCAGCCGGCACCAAGUAUGAUCCGUGCUCAGGACGGGCCACCUUCACCUAAGGAUAUCUCGAGGAGGGUGCAUGUGGCGGGUAGGGUGAUGCUACCGACAAAUAUGCUCAAUGCUGCAACCGGUGCUAUGUGGAGUCUGCAUGACAGUGUUCUUUCUUUGGAGAAACGCAUCUCAGAGAGGAUGAUGUGGCAUACCCGGUUUUCGUGGCCAAGGUGCCAGAGGGCAAGGGCUUUGUGGAUGGCGCCAUCGGGGGUACGAUCGUCCUGCGGUUUGAUGACAUCUUUGCUAUGUUUAACCUUCAUCCGCUGCACUACACCUUCGUUCGGCUGUUUUCCCUGAGUAUGGAGAUGCGGAUCAUUAGAGACAAGACCCCGGACAUCGUGAUAGUCGACCCCUUCUACAUGCGUGCCAAGCUCUUGGGCAGUGCUGGGGACCGGCAAGUCGCGAGUUCUUACCUCGAAAGCGUCAUUCUGGCAAACCCAGAUAAGGAUAACUUCCUCGUGCCUUACUUUCCCGAGUAAGUCGUCCCCUCAACCGCCCCGUAACAUAUGAUUUCUUAGAUUUCGAUCGUUUUUUUUCUUCUAACAUUCCGUGUUAUGUGCAGUGACACACAUUGCACACUCAUCCUCUUAAGCCCGAAAUAUUCCAUGGCCACGUAUUUCGACCCGAACCGUGACUCCAAGAUAGACUACACAAAUAUCAAGAAAGUUCUUGAUGAUGUUCUCCCCGGCUACGCCAAAUCUGGAGGCACCUUCACCAGGCCAGUUCGUAGGUAGGACAAGCACGUGUUCAGCCACAAUACGAUGUUCUCCUGCGUCAAGCAGCCGCCUGGCGGUCAGAAGGAUGCCUACUACGCCCUCCAUCACAUGCGGGCGAUCGUACAGGACCAUCAUCACCUUCUGCUAACAGAUAAUCUCAAAGAUUGGGCCGCGAGCUUGUCGGCAAUCCAGGACGCGGACAUCAGACAAGAAUUCUUUCGCAUCCAGUCGGAGUUUGCGGAAAUCAUCCAUCAAGAUGUCCUUCAUACCUCGGGGCAGUUCUACCUCAGAUAUCAACCGUCCAACAGUGAGAUAGACACAACGCUACAAAUGCAGGCUGAUAACGCCCGCGAUUUCAUGACCAUCAUGACAGACGGCGGCUUCAUCCAUGCUCCGGUCCCAUGAGUCGAGUCGAAAGUAGUGAUGCUAUGUGUAGUUCUGAAACAUUGAUUGGCUCAUGUUGUAAUUAAACUUUAAUGAAUUGUAUGUCUCUUUGGUUUGGACAGUCGUUCAACUUAGAUGUAGUCGAUGCUAUUUAUUAGUAGGACCAUGAAUCAUGCUAUUAGUGUCUUGCUUUUCUCUUCCGAUCCUUUUGUUGCAUACUUAUAUAUUGCUUAUAUAUUGUCUGUUGUUUGGCUUGUGCAUAGAGAUGCCGUCGUAUGUCGUGUACAAGGGUAAGGUUCCCGGAGUCUACGACGACUGGGAGGAGUGUCGGAGACAGGUUCACCGUUUCAGCGAUAACAGUUACAAAGGGUACACAACUAGGGCGGAGGCGGAAUCUAGAUUCGCCCGCUAUCUAGCGGGAGAGAGGAGGGAGCGUGGGAGGAACCGGAUGAAAACCAGUUUCAUUGCGAUGAUGCUCAUAGUGAUGACCGCAGCUCUCUUCUAUGUGAUGGCAGUUUAGAUGAUCGAUAUCGACUUGUAACGUGAAGACAAACUCGCUACUCGCGGUCUCGAGACUUGUAAUGUUCUAUAUUUGUUCGGUCUUUUGAAUUAGGAGACUAAUAUGAUGAAUUGUAUUUGGAGACUAAUCUUCUAUUGUAUUCGAUGAAUCUGCUGUUGCUGUGUGCUGCUGUCUAUAUUCUGUCCAAUAAUAUAUUUUGUAACCUAUGCAAAAAUCAGAAAAGUAAAAAUAAAAUAAAACAUAAUAUUCAUACUAAUGGCGCAUCACCUCAAAGUGCGUCAUUAGUAUGCCAAAGGAUACUAAUGGCGCAUCACUACCCAGUGCGCCAUUAGUAUGCCAAAGGAUACUAAUGGCGCAUCACUACCCAGUGUGCCAUUAGUAUGGCAAAGGAUACUAAUGGCGCAUCAACCCACAGUGCGCCAUUAGUGUGCCAAAGCACGUGAGUAAAUAUGGCCCCCUGGGAGGCAUACUAAUGGCGCAUGGUGGUCUAUACUAAUGGCGCACAGCGUGGUGCGCCAUUAGUAUAUCAGAUACUAAUGGCGCACCAGUGGUGCGCCAUUAGCAUAUAAUACUAGUGGCGUGGUACUAGUGACGCACCUGUAGUGCGCCAUUAGUAGGCAAAACUGGUGCGCCACUAGUAGGCCUUUUCCUAGUAGUGCUAGUAAUUUGCAUAUGUUACUAGUCUAUAUUACGGAGGGGAAUUUUUGGUCUAUGGGGACAUAUGCACCCUAUAUAGGAAAAAAUUUAGUAAUUCAACAAAAAGUCAAAAAUUCCUGAAAAUAUUUUUGAAAUAAACUUGACCUUCUAUUGUACUCGUGAGAAAUAAAAUCCACAAAAAAAUAUCCUUUUGACUUCUUUUCAAAAAAGACAAAAUUUUGGCUAUAAUAGCGUGAAUAGUGACCUAUAAUAGCAAAUAAUUUUUGUCUUUUUUGUUGUGAGGUCAACUUUCGGUUUUUUCGUCGAGAUUUAUAUAUCAAUGCAAAAGUAAGUCAAUUGUUUUUUCAAAAUAGUUCUUACCUAUUUUGACUUUUUAUUAAAAUAUAAAAUAAUCCCUAUAUAUAGGGUGCAUAUACAACCAGGAACCAAAGUGUAUUUCCCUCUAUAUUACUACCUUCUUAGUGUGUAGUAGCAUUUGUGAUAUCAUGCAAGCCCUCAUUUAUUUACAUGUAGACUCAUUUUAUCUUAGGUUGCGUUAUGUUACCACAUACGCCUCUCUCUCUCUAUUAACUACUUGCCACAUGAUCAAAUUGCAUUGGAUGCAUUAUGUUUUUUUUUCUUCUGAAGUGUCAUUGCAUGCAUUAUGUUACUAGUAAAGUUACUCCCGCUAUGACCAGUUUGUAUUGAUGGUCAUAUCCACAAAAAGGAAAUGAUGUAGAUUAUGAGGACCACCCAUCUGAGAAACAAUCCUAACUAUCUUAAUCCAGCGCAGCUCAUUUUUACUACACACUUCCACGGCCUGGGCGCCCCCAUUACCACCUGGUCUGCAAGUCCUCAACGAGCCAAGCAGCGAUCAGUCUUUUCAUGAACUAGCUAGCAGAAGUUCGGCAUGCAUGCGUCCGUGCGUACCUUUGGCUUGGCUCGGCAGGAGAAUGGUGCCCACGUUGUCGGCGACGGAGGCGUGGCCGGCGACGAGGAGGGCUGCCCCCAGUAAGCAUCAGCAUGAUGCUAGGAAUGACGCGUAUGUUCAUCUUCAUGGCUGGUCGCUCACUGACUUUGCUUGUGCAUUCGGCCCGUAUAUAUAGCCUCGCGGUGACACCAGUGGAUCGGCUAAGCGUGGAACGUUACCAUGCUCCACGAGGGGCCAAUAUGCUGAUGUGGGCACGAUAGCCACAUGGGCACCCUGACAAUAUGUGACUGAAUCAAUUGCACUGUCUGGAACAAGAUCGUCAAGCUAGUAGGUUAGAGAGGUCCGGCUCUAAUGAAUAUACAGGAUAAAUAUAAUUGUUGAAACAAAGCGACAAAAAGACCAUGUCAUUAUAAAAAAAUAUGAACAGAAAACUCAGUUCAUGCUCCAGAAGUGAUAAUUCUGUACAACCACUGUCCAACCCAUGUGACCCUGACAACUUCGUCCGCUAAUUUCACUCCCAUAGAAGAGCAAGUUACAGGCGACAACAUGCAUAUGAACAAAAAAUAAUUUAAGUAAUAAAAAACCAAUUCAAAAAAGAAUUAACUAUGAUAUUUGAUGGUUGUAGGUGAAAAAUAAUCUUUGGAAAUUUAUAGUUGCAUUGGAUCGGUUGGAUACUCUAAUGGCAUUGGCAAUCAUAGUAAGAUGAGUGUAUGAGGUGAAUACACAUUAUUAGUAACAAAACACCAUUCUAAAACAACACGAGGACUAGUUAUAUGAAGAUAGAACAAAAUGAUGGAUGAGGACUGAGGACAAAUAGAAGUAAAGUGGGAGAAAACUAUGAAAAAGUCAAUGGUUUGUACAUCGAGCCACAUACACCAAUUUAUCAUUUCCGUUGUUAAUUAUCCCUUUUUGAACAUACAAAUGUAAGGUUCAGAAGAGAAGAUUCCUAUCAGUAAAAUUCUUGAGUGUCCUUUGGAAUAGAGGAAUCGCCAUUUUAUACCUAUGUAAAUUUUCAUUGGAACACAACGUACAGUCUAUGGGAGUUUUGAAGAAAUACAAACAUGAUGUAUGAUCUCGAGAAUGGACGUUUCAUGACCGACCUCACUGGAGCUAGAAAUUUUGGAAAAAAAUCAACAUUCAAACUUUCUGGUUUGGAAAAAUCUGAAAAAAUUGUGCAAGUAAACAAGGAUGUUAUGUGUAUGUGUGUAAAUUUCUUUCAACACAUUGUUAAGGAACUUCAUUUACUGAUUGGAUUUGAUAUUUAUGUGGUUUUGAAAAUUUAUUCAACAUGGUUAUCUUAUACUUGACUCGAUGUGGAAUAAAUCAUAUUAUUAUAUAUGUGAUGGAAAAUAAUUGAUGCGGUAUUUCACUUGAGGAAACAAAAUACUCAAGGUGCCUAUAAAGGUAGAAUUACAAUAGGGGAAAAAAUUCUCGAGGCACCAAGGACAGCUAUCCUGGAAUUAUUGGGUGGAAACUAAGGUAUCUAGUGAUCUUAAGUUCCACAACAAGGAAACAUUCUGAAGUAAGGUAUCACUAUAUAUUUCUUUGGAUUUCGACAUAGUGUUAAUCUGGUUGUUGACCCCUUUACUAAGCCUAUUAGUUAUGAGGUAUUUGGUAAGCAUGUAAAGGCUAUGGGUUUACGAAUAUCUGAAUGAUUGUUUUGGACAAGUGGGAGAUGUUGGAAUUAUGUGUCCUGCAACUAUAUUCAAAUUACUAGGAAUUACCAAUAUUCAAAAUACCUCAUUAUGGAAUUUAUAUACAUGUACUUAUGCAUGGAAUUACUUUACAUGAUUAUCAUGGAAUUAUUACUUGUUGGAAGUACUUAAGUUUUACAUGCUUAAGUGAGCUGGUCGAUUAUCAAUGGAAUACAAUAUACUAUUUAUAUUGAAAAGACUACCCGGGUACACUGAUGAUUGGAAGAAGCUUGAUCGUAUAGUUAGAUUACAACCCUAGUGUUGAUCUAUGUAAUUAGAAGAAUUUACACUAUAUUAUGGUGCGUUGCUCACAAGCUUGUGCUCCCGAGACAUAACGGGUAGAAUCUGUUAACAGACAAAUAUGAUCGCGGUUGGCAAUUUGAUCUAGACUCUAUCUCGGAAAAAGUAGUUGAGAAGACUAGGAAUAUUAUCUGUAUAAGAUGUGGACUCUUUGGAAAGACAAUACAAGAAGGUCCCUAUCCCCUAGCCUCAGAUAUGCGAAUUGUGAGCGGCACCACGGAUAAGCACAGAGGAAUAGGAGUAGACCACAAACCCUAAAUUUCUGACAAUCACUGCAAAAUUAAAUACAUAAAGUUCAUACAUAGUUCUCAUAAACAACACGCAACUAUGUAAAACAUUUAAAUGCAACAACAAAUGUGAUCAAAAUCGCAACUAAGGUAACAAUUGAUCCAACAUCAUAAUGAUACCAAGCCUCUUUAUCAAUGGCACAUUUUCUAAUCUUUCUAAUCUUGAAGCGCAUUGCAUCCAUCUGAAUUGUGUAGAUCGAUGACAUCGGCAACAUGCAACUUCAAUUUUAUCUUCUCUUCUUCAACUCUUUUCAAUUUUUAUUUCAAACAAUUGUUUUAUUUUUCAACUAAAUUUAACCUCUCAACCAGAGGGUCGGUUGGAAUUUCCAGUUCAAAUACCUCCUAGAUAAAAUCAUCUAUGUCAAGUUGGUCGGCAUAAUUGUCAUAAACACUAAAUGAAAAAAAUAGUUAUAAAUGAUAAUAUACCACAUCCAAUCAUAGACCGGGCGAGAGCCGAUGGGGGCGGAUAUCAAAACUAUGGCACUACAUAAUAACAAACAAUAAUACAAGUAAGAAAAUUAUACAACUAGAUAUCUAAAUCAUACAAGUAAAUUUUUUUGAAAAAAAAAAGAUAAAAACAAGAGGCUCACCACGGUGGUGCCGGCGACGGGAUCAGCGCAGGCGAUCGACAGCGGUGAGGACGGGGACGAGGAUGGGCUUGGAGGAAGAACAAAGGAGAAAGCUUAAGUGUAGCUCGGACACCUCAUAUCAUGUUUGUUUUGUGUGAACUCAAGUGACAUCAUGCUCACAGGCAUUUCAUCGAACACCUGAUGUGCAUAGGAAGGGAGAGCAAAGUAGCACACACCUCCUACCUUCUAUGAGCCAGAAACAGAGGAGGGGGCGGGCAGGGGCAAGGAUAUGUGGGAUAACUACCACUGGGUGGUAGGAUAGAUUUUCCCUAUAUAUAUAUAUAUAUAUAUAUAUAUAUAUAGGACAAAUGUUUCCUACAAGCAGUGGUAGUUACCACCACUUGCGUUUUGUAUGUUGUAUGUAGUAUCCGUCAAAAUAGAGAGUAUAUACGUGUAGUAUGUAGUAUAUAACAAUGAUUAAGUAGUAUAUAUACUAAUUUUUAGGUAGUACAUACCAUGUUUUGAGUAUGCUUUUUUUACGUACAAAUAUGUACGUAUUUCACAAAUAUAACAAAAACUAUGGGCUCAUAUGCAAUUUUUUCANNNNNNNNNNNNNNNNNNNNNNNNNNNNNNNNNNNNNNNNNNNNNNNNNNNNNNNNNNNNNNNNNNNNNNNNNNNNNNNNNNNNNNNNNNNNNNNNNNNNNNNNNNNNNNNNNNNNNNNNNNNNNNNNNNNNNNNNNNNNNNNNNNNNNNNNNNNNNNNNNNNNNNNNNNNNNNNNNNNNNNNNNNNNNNNNNNNNNNNNNNNNNNNNNNNNNNNNNNNNNNNNNNNNNNNNNNNNNNNNNNNNNNNNNNNNNNNNNNNNNNNNNNNNNNNNNNNNNNNNNNNNNNNNNNNNNNNNNNNNNNNNNNNNNNNNNNNNNNNNNNNNNNNNNNNNNNNNNNNNNNNNNNNNNNNNNNNNNNNNNNNNNNNNNNNNNNNNNNNNNNNNNNNNNNNNNNNNNNNNNNNNNNNNNNNNNNNNNNNNNNNNNNNNNNNNNNNNNNNNNNNNNNNNNNNNNNNNNNNNNNNNNNNNNNNNNNNNNNNNNNNNNNNNNNNNNNNNNNNNNNNNNNNNNNNNNNNNNNNNNNNNNNNNNNNNNNNNNNNNNNNNNNNNNNNNNNNNNNNNNNNNNNNNNNNNNNNNNNNNNNNNNNNNNNNNNNNNNNNNNNNNNNNNNNNNNNNNNNNNNNNNNNNNNNNNNNNNNNNNNNNNNNNNNNNNNNNNNNNNNNNNNNNNNNNNNNNNNNNNNNNNNNNNNNNNNNNNNNNNNNNNNNNNNNNNNNNNNNNNNNNNNNNNNNNNNNNNNNNNNNNNNNNNNNNNNNNNNNNNNNNNNNNNNNNNNNNNNNNNNNNNNNNNNNNNNNNNNNNNNNNNNNNNNNNNNNNNNNNNNNNNNNNNNNNNNNNNNNNNNNNNNNNNNNNNNNNNNNNNNNNNNNNNNNNNNNNNNNNNNNNNNNNNNNNNNNNNNNNNNNNNNNNNNNNNNNNNNNNNNNNNNNNNNNNNNNNNNNNNNNNNNNNNNNNNNNNNNNNNNNNNNNNNNNNNNNNNNNNNNNNNNNNNNNNNNNNNNNNNNNNNNNNNNNNNNNNNNNNNNNNNNNNNNNNNNNNNNNNNNNNNNNNNNNNUUUCUAGUAGAACCAAUCAUAUAUAUAUAUAUCAUCAAUGUCUCACAAACCAUAUUAAUUCACACAUACACACAUGUAUAGCUAUAUACAAUUUCUCCUACAUAUGCAUGUUGCCUUUGGAGCCAGUGGCAUUAUCCUAAUUGGUGCCUUCGGAGAACGAUGACAAUUGGAAGUGGUUCAUGGGGGCGGUAGCGGGUAAUAGUAUUCUCCCUUUGGAUUUAUGACCUGGUCGAGCAAAAAUCCCGCUAUUUUCUCUUGAAGUGCUUCUACGCGCUUCGUUUCUAGGAGCUUGUCCCGCACCUCUUUGAACUGUUAAGAAGGAGAUCAAUAUGCAUGUGUAUUAGUUGUGUGACUAGAUAUCGAUAAUGGUGUAAAAGUUGUGAAUAGUGUUCUGACAAGCAUACCCAUUCCUGUCUUUGAGAUCUGCUCCUUUCGGACGCCAUCAUGCGAAUGUUCUCCCAAACGCAGAAUGCACACAGAUCAGUCCCCUGCGCCUGCUUCAGGGCCUUUAUUACGAGAAUGGAAUUUAAUUUGAUCAGAUAAUAAUUAAUCAAGCAUGAUAAUUAAAGAGAUGGCAGCUAGCUAGCUAGCUAGCUAGUACUACUUAAUUACUUACCUUGGAUCGAAACCAUUUCAGCUUUGGUUUCCAUUCGUCUUCCGUGACGGUAAUGAACCUUUCCCAAGCCCUGCCCGCCGACAAAGAAAAUGAAUAAAGGGGUUAUUAAAUAGUUCAUAUCAUGAAAUGACGAAUUACUAAAUAGGCCGAGAUAUAUAGUUAAUAAUGAUUGAAAUUACCUGUUGACUAUCUCAAACAAGAUGUUAUAGUCACUUUGUUUUUUAAGUACCGAGUCCAGUAUUUCAACUGUUCCGGCGUCAACUUUAAUGAUACACAAGAUCCAGUGAAAUCUGCAUGCACGCACGUUUGCAUGUCUUAAUUAAGCGGGCAUAUGUAAGCAAAAACAUGUAGCUAGCUAGCUAGUAGGCAAAAACAGAGAAUUUGUAGUACAAGAAAGUGUGACUCACUGGAAGUUGUAAGGAAGUAGUAUAUCUUCAUUGUAUUUGAGGCGCUUCAAGAACUCUAGCAUGCUGUCCUCUACCUCUUUUUCUUGAUGCUUGUUUAUUUUCCAUGUGUAUUCAUUAACGGUGUUUGGGUCAAUGAACCCAAUGCCAUAGCGUCCACCUUUUCUCAUUUCAUACAUCUUCAUCCUGCAUAAUACCACAGAAAAGAAUAUAGUGAGGAUAAUUACAGGUAAUGAUUGAUCAAAAGGAUCACUACAGCUAGCUUGAGACUUAAAUUACAGAAAGAAAUCACUUACAGACAAUAGCAACUGACGAUAGAUUUGUCGAGUGCGUCUUGAUUGUAUAACUGAAACAGUUCAGGAUACUCAACGGCCACAACUUUCUCAUGGUAGUAAUCAUCCUUCUUGACAUACACCAUGAGGGACUCUCGAUCGGAUCUCUUGGUAAUGUCCAUGUACCAUUGAUGCAAUUCAUACAUUCUCGUUGGGAGCUUGUUGACAUCUUCUGGCUCGACCAAAGGUUGGCCCCGGACAUAUUUCCGUUUUAUUUCCUCCUCUGUAAUCCCAGGCAUGUCCUCGAUCUCGAGGAGUUGUCCAACAGUGAUCUUGAGUUCUUCAGCCUGCAUUAUAUGCUCCUGGGUUAUUACCACAUCGCCCACCUCGAGAACGUAAACUGUUUGGCCACAAUAAUAUUGGGCGCGCGUACUGUCACGUGUUGUUGGCGGCACAACAAGCGGGGGGAUCGAUUGCGCCGCCUGUUUUCCCAGCUGGGCAACGGUUUUCCCGCAUUUUUUGACAGCUGCUUGUUGUUUGCUCGAGCUCGAGCUCGCUGUCGUGGUUCUAAGCCUGACAGUAGAGUGGGGGGUAGGUAUUGAGAGGCAAGGUCCUAGCUAUGGAGAGGUUGUAAGCACAAAGGAUGUACGAGUUCAGGCCCUUCUCGGAGGAAGUAACAGCCCUACGUCUCGGAGCCCGGAGGCGGUCGAGUGGAUUAUGAAUGUAUGGAUUACAAGGUGCCGAACCCUUCUGCCUGUGGAGGGGGGUGGCUUAUAUAGAGUGUGCCAGGACCCCAGCCAGCCCACGUAGGAGAAGGUUUAAGGUGAGUUAAGUCUGGGGCGUUACUGGUAACGCCCCACAUAAAGUGCCUUUACUAUCAUAAAGUCUACUUAAUUACAGGCCGUUGCGGUGCAGAGUGCCUCUUGACCUCCUGGUGGUCGAGUGCGUCUUCGUGGUCGAGUCCUUCAGGCCAGUCGAGUGUGUCCUCGUUGGUCGAGUGAACCCUCGUUGGUCGACUGGAAGGCGACCUCUUCUAGGGAUGUCCUAGGGUAAGUUACUUGGGACAGGUCCGUGACCCUACCCUAGGUACAUAACCCCAUCAUUAGCCCCCGAAUGGAUUGAGGCUUCGAGUGAAGGAGGAGUUGACGUCGUUUCCGAUUAACCUUUGCGCUCUAGUUGUGCGCUGUUCUGGAUCAAAGAAUCUCUUCGUUGACAAGGAGCAAUUCGUCUUCGGUCGACUCGAUCCAUUCUAUUUUUGCGUCGAGUGAUCUUUCGAACUUCGUCGAUCUCCGAGCGACGGAUCGCCGGAAUCGCCGCGUCUGACAGGCAGAUUUGUUGUUCGCGGGUUCUGCGGGGUGCGAAAUUCGGGGGCGCGCGCGAAGUGGGGCGGACCGCGGCGUUCGGAUGGGACGGGGCGUAGACGCCUCGAUCUCCGCGCCGCCUUUUUCGCCACGUAUCCAGUCUCCAUAACUGCUCACAGAUAUGAUUAGAUCGACCGGGCCCACACGUCAGCCACUCGGAAGGGACCUUAUAAAUGUGCCCGGCGAGGAUUUCUGUGCUGCGCCUCCGCAUUCUCCCUCUCUCCUUCUGCUCCCUUCCUCCCUGCUCAGCGUGCCUGCUCUCGUCUCCGCACCGCUCUCCUUCGUGCAUCCCACCGGCGACCAUGGCCAAGGAGAAGACGGCGGCGCUGGAGCGUGCCAAGAAGGCAUCGGCAUCGGAGAAGGCGAAGGGGAGAUCCACAAGCCGCCGAGGAUCUUCGUCCAGAUCCCGCCUGCCGAAAGGCUGGGUCCAAGGCGACUGGAUCCAGUCGACCAUCACGGAGAAGGACCUCCUCGACAUGGCCGACGAGGGCUUGAUCCCUCACGGAGCUGCGAGGUUGCCGGGGAAGGAGUGGCAGCCACAGCCAGAAGAGGGUGAGUGUGUGCUCCUGGCCACUCAUGUCGAUCGGGGGUUUUCCUUGCCACCGAGCAUUUUCUUCCGGGGUUUCCUGAAUUUCUUUGGAGCGCAGCUCCACCACUUUACCCCAAACUCCAUUGCCUACCUUGCUGCGUUCGUGUCCAUGUGCGAGGGUUUCUUGGGCUGUCGACCGCACUGGGGUUUGUUCAAACGUAUCUUCACGUGUCGCUCUCAGACCGUGAAGAAGGCGAGCCCAGGUGACGAGAAGACCCGAGUCAUCCAAAUGUGUGGGGGCCUGGGGAUUCAGGUGAGGAACAAUAGCACAUUCCCGCCCAUGUCUUUUCCCGAGUCCGUCAGGGGCUGGCAGUCGACUUGGUUCUACUGCCAGGUCCAGUCGACGCCAGGGCAGUCGAGUGGACUCCCUCAAUUUACCAUGGACCGAGUGAACAAGCCCUCCCCUCUGAAGCUGAUUCCGGAGGAGAAAGCCGACGUGAAGAUGUUGAUGGAGCGAGUGGUGCAGCUGGUUCGGGACGGAGUGACAGGCAUGGACCUCUUGGAGGUUUUCCUCAAGCGCCGCAUCCAACCUCUCCAGUUCCGGAGCCACUGCAUGUGGUUGUACUGUGGGCCCGCGGACGAGACCAGAGUCCAUCCAGAAGAAGUCGACGAUGUCACUCUGGAAAGGUGGAUGGUAGCCGUUACCGGGAACAGGGACAACCCGCGCGGAUCCAGAAGGAUUCCUCCACUCGACCACGACAACGUCCCAAACAAGGUACACUUGCUCUGCUUUCCGUCGUGUCUUUGUUGUAUUCAUUCUUGCCGAUCCUGUCGACUGGUCGACUGAUCGUUGUUUGGGCGACUGCUAGGCCUUCACCGAGCUGUACUCGAUGCCCAAUGGGGCACAAACUUCGACUGAAGAAGGCGAGGCGAGCGGGGGCGAGGCGAGCGGGGGCGAGGCGAGCGGAGGUGAGGCGAGCGGGGGCGAGAGCCAGGGAGAGGAGGAAUGGGACUCGGAUGCUGCAGGGGAUGACGACGACGAUGAUGAUGAUGAAGGUGAUGAAGAUGACCUCGAGGACGAGGAAGAAGAGGAGGAGGAGGUCGUUCCACCGCGCUCAGAAAGGCGGUCGAAACUUGUCCACGACCCCUCGACCGAACGUGGUAAGGGGGUAGCGACCGCUGCCCAGUCGACCAAGCGCCCUCGGACCACCUCUCCGGCGCCGACUGAAAAGGCGCCGAAGCAGCCCAGGGCGGCCUCAUCGAAGCCGGCCAAGCUUCUGCCGAAGAUGAAAGUGUCCAUCCCCACCAUUUCAGGGUAAUAGUCUUGUUCAUAUUUUCCUAUUCUUAUGCGAACUUUAUCUCUGGUCGACACUGAUGUUAGUCGACUGAUCCUUUGGAGCUGCAGUGCUGCUACUUCUGAGACCUCGACCCGGGCCGAUGACCACGAGAUGGAGGAUGCCGCAACUUCGAAUCCAGGUGCCGUGUUCUUAAUACCAUACUUAGUCGACUGACUCGCGAUCUCUGAUCCUGACACUUCUCUGCAGCUCCACCCAACACUGUUAUCGAUCUGCCUGAUGAUGAUGAGGAUGAGGAGCCGCUGAAGCACAGGAGGAGUCGGAAAGCGCCUGCCGGCAAGGUGUCUCAGGAUGCGUCAGCGCCUGAGAUUCUGACUGUGGAGGGAGAGAACACCACUCGACACACGGUGACCUUCGCGACCCCACUGACGAGUGCUCAGCAGCCUUCCCUCUUCACGACUCACCACGUCCCAGAGGACCAAGCUGGUGCGGCGAAGGAGGCGAUACGCCAGGCGGGACUCAUGAUGGAGCAGCUGAAGACCAUCCGGGAUGCGAGUCAAGCAGCCUAUGACGCCAGCUCUGCCCUCCAAAGCAAUGUCCAGGUCAGUCGACUGCUGUUUGUUCUGUUGGAUACGCUCCCAAAAACUUUUCUUUUCCGGGAUUUAUAUUGGUCACCCACUGGGAGUGUUGAAUAAACUCCGUGUUAGCGGGGGCACGCUGAGUGCACCCGCUGGGUGUAGUCCCCAAGGCUAGGGUCGACUGCUGGCAGUCGGCCUUAGGCUUUAUAAUGUCGAUCUUUCUAUCAGUCGACUGGUCGACUGGAUUUCGCAAACCGGUGGGGGCACGCUGAGUGCACCCACUGGGUGUAGUCCCCGAGACUGUGGCCGACUGCUUGCAGUUGAUCACAGUCUUAGAUAAUGCGUCUCGCACACUUUUUUUUUUCUUUUUUUUUUGAGGUCGACUGGUCGACUUUGUCUUCGACAGGAUUAGUGGGGGCACGCUGAGUGCACCCACUGGGUGUAGUCCCCGAGACUACGGUCGAAUAGUUGUAUUCGGCUGUAGUCUUAGAAACGUGUGUUUUUCCCUUUUUCACUCGGAAGUGAAUUAUUUUUGACGUUUGGUCGAUUGGUUCUUCGCAGAACUCCUGUGAUCUUGUGGCUCGCUACUCAGAGCUAGAACAGAAACACACUCAGGUCGAGCUGAGCUUGAAGCUGGUUCAGGAGAAGCUGACAAAGGCGAAGGAGGAGACUGAAGGUAUGUUUGGUGAGACCUUGACAACUGCUUUUCCUCUUGCUUGUUUCAACAUCUGAUCAUGCUGUGUCUUGCAGGUAAGGUAAAGGAGGCCCAGCAGAAGAAAGACCUUGAGCUAGCUGAGAAGAUCAAGCUUGCUGACGAGAAGUUAGCUUCAGUCACCAAGCUUGAACAGGACAAUACCAACCUGAAAACUGCUCUUGGGAUUGCCAACAAAGAAGUCAGUCGACUGAGAACCGACAAAGCUGCCUUGACCGAUCAAGUCAGCAAAUUGACUGAGAAGAAGACUGCGCUGGAGGCCUUCCUGAGUGGCUUUGCCAAGAAGCUGUUUCUUAUGCUCGAAGGUAAACCCCCAUGUUUGGCAAAUAUUUCUGACUGUGGUUUCUUCCACUCGACUAUCCCCUUGACUUAGUGAUCACUCUUGCAGAAUUUUGUCAAAACUUUGAAGAAGAAACCAGCCGACUGGAGCCAAACCUUGACCCUGUCAAUUCUCCGGUAAAUGACGAGGUUGCCAUGGAUAUCUUCCGACUGGAAUCUCGCGUUGCAUCCGUCGUGGAUUAUCUCGCCAGGCUGAAGGCCGCCACAUCUCGCAUCGACUCGACGCUCUGGCCUGAGGAGACACUUCAGAAUGACCUUGAGUCAUUAAUGGCCCGCUUGAACACGAUCCCUGGUCGAGUGCAGGAAUGGAAGAAGUCCUCAGCUCGGUGUGGUGCAGAUGUUGCUCUAUGUCUGGCCCGAGUCCACUGUAAAGAUGCACGAGAGGAGAAGCUGGCGGCUCUUCGGGUGGCCAAUACCAAGAAGCACGACUUCAGGUCCUUCAUGGAGACUUUCCUUGCAGCUGCCACUCGGAUCGCCGACGGGAUUGACCUUGAUGAAUUCGUCGCACCUUCCAGCCCUCCACAGGAGGGGUAAAAAACUUCUUAUGGCUCGACUCUUUUAAAUUUGCCUCGGUAUGCCGAGUGGAAUUGUAUCCGACAAACUUUAACAGGCUUGACGCCUGAGCACUUUUGGUUCCUUUAGACAUCGAUUUGAACUUGAAUUUGGCACUUGAAUAUGGUUGCCUUCGGCUCAAAAUGUCCUUUGCAGGUUCAAAGCAAGGUGCCUGUGUUUAGGCGAGCGCUUGGACUGCAGCUAAGCCUCCGAGUGAAAGGAUUGCUCACCACUCGGUAGGAUUUUUAUAACUUAGGCGAAACGAAUUCGCAGCUAAGCCUCCGAGUGAGAGUCUGGCUCACCACUCGACAGGAUUUUGAUAAACUUAGGCGAGUGCUUGGACUGCAGCUAAGCCUCCGAGUGAGAGGAUUGCUCACCACUCGGUAGGAUUUUUGUAACUUAAGCGAAACGGAUUCGCAGCUAAGCCUCCGAGUGAGAGUCUGGCUCACCACUCGACAGGAUUUUGAUAACUUAGGCGAGCACGAGGCUGCAGCUAAGCCCCCGAGUGGGAGGAUUGCUCACCACUCGGUAGGAUUUUUAUAACUUAGGCGAGUGCUUGGACUGCAGCUAAGCCUCCGAGUGAGAGGAUUGCUCACCACUCGGUAGGAUUUUGAUAAACUUAGGCGAGUGCUUGGACUGCAGCUAAGCCCCCGAGUGAGAGGAUUGCUCACCACUCGGUGGGAUUUUUAUAACUUAGGCGAAACGGAUUCGCAGCUAAGCCUCCGAGUGAGAGUCUGGCUCACCACUCGACAGGAUUUUUAUAACUUAGGCGAAACGGAUUCGCAGCUAAGCCUCCGAGUGAGAGUCUGGCUCACCACUCGACAGGAUUUUUAUAACUUAGGCGAAACGGAUUCGCAGCUAAGCCUCCGAGUGAGAGUCUGGCUCACCACUCGACAGGAUUUUUCCAAACUUAGGCGAAACGGAUUCGCAGCUAAGCCACCCACUGAGGGGGAGUUUUUAUGUGGACAAAAAGAAAAAGUGCUGACACAAUUAUUUCUAAACCCAUGAAUUACAGAAGCUCUUUAUUGCAACUCAUCCGAGUGAUACAACUUAAGUGUAAAACGGGCGGAGUAGCUCCGCGUUCCAAGCUCGGGGCUCGUCGAUAUUAUGCUCGACGUUGUAAAGACGGUAUGCCCCGUUGUGGAGAACCUUGGUGACGAUGAAAGGGCCUUCCCAAGAAGGAGCAAGCUUAUGUGGUUUGUGCUGAUCCACUCGGAGAACCAAAUCCCCUUCCUGGAAGGCUCGACCUCUCACAUUUCGAGCGUGGAAACGGCGCAGAUCUUGUUGGUAGAUGGUCGACCGGAUCAGAGCCAUCUCCCUUUCUUCCUCUAAAAGGUCGACUGCGUCCUGCCGCGCUUGUUCAGCUUCUGCUUCGUCGUAGAUUUCGACUCGAGGAGCAUUGUGGAGAAGAUCACUUGGCAAGACUGCUUCGGCUCCGUAGACCAAGAAGAAUGGAGUUCUUCCGGUCGACCGAUUGGGCGUGGUCCGCAGUCCCCAGAGCACAGAUGGAAGUUCAUCGACCCAAGCUCCAGCCGCGUGUUUGAGAUCACGCAUCAGUCGCGGUUUCAGCCCCUUGAGAAUCAGUCCAUUAGCUCGCUCUGCUUGUCCAUUCGACUGCGGAUGGGCGACCGACGCGUAGUCGACCCGCGUACCUUGGGAGUUGCAGAAGGUUCUGAAUUCCUCUGAGUCAAAGUUCGACCCAUUAUCCGUGAUGAUGCUGUGCGGGACUCCAUAUCUGAAUACCAGUUCCCUGAUGAAGCUAACAGCGGUACCGGUGUCGAGGCUCUUGAUCGGUUUAGCUUCGAUCCACUUGGUGAACUUGUCGACUGCCACCAGUACAUGCGUGAAGCCACUUCGUCCUGUUCUCAAAGGACCGAUCAUGUCCAGCCCCCAAACUGCAAAAGGCCAGACGAGUGGGAUGGUCUUCAAAGCUGACGCAGGCUUGUGCGACAUAUUCGAGUAGAACUGACAUCCUUCGCACUUAUCUACUAUCUCCUUUGCCAUCUCAUUCGCCUUGGGCCAGUAAAAUCCGGCUCGGUAUGCUUUGGCCACGAUGGUUCGAGAGGACGCAUGAUGACCACAGGUUCCCGAGUGAAUAUCGUUGAGGAUGAGUCGACCUUCUUCUGGCGCAAUGCACUUCUGUCCGACUCCAGUCGCGCUCUCUCUGUAUAAUUGUCCUUUGAUGACGGUAAAGGCCUUAGAUCGACGGACGAUCUGUCGAGCCUCUUCCUCGUCCUCCGGAAGUUCUUUCCUCAAGAUAUAUGCAACAUAUGGAAUCGUCCAGUCGGGAAUGACUACCAAAACCUCCAUGAUCAAGUCGACCACCGCUGGGACUUCAACUUCAGUCGGAUCUGUGGCACUCUUGGGCUGCGGAGUUUCUUCGGUAAAAGGAUCUUCUUUGACUGAUGGAGUGUGUAUAUGCUCCAAGAACACACCACUCGGAAUGGCUUCUCUCUUGGAACCUAUCUUUGCUAGAUCAUCAGCUGCUUGAUUCUUCAGUCGGGGUAUAUGAUGGAGCUCCAACCCCUCGAACUUUUUCUCCAGCUUCCUCACUGCACUGCAGUAUCCAGUCAUGGCUGGGCUUCUUACGUCCCACUCUUUCAUCACUUGGUUGACCACUAAAUCUGAGUCGCCAUAAACCAUUAGGCGACGGACGCCGAGUGAAAUGGCCAUGCGCAACCCAUAUAGGAGGGCCUCAUAUUCUGCCUCAUUGUUGGAGGAAUCAAAGUGAAUCUGGAGCACAUAUCUGAGCUUAUCUCCUCUGGGGGAAACCAGGACAACCCCAGCACCGGAACCAUUCAACAUCUUAGAGCCAUCGAAAAACAUGGUCCAAUGCUCCGAGUGAACUUCAGUCGGCUGUUGCUGUUCAACCCACUCGGCUAGGAAAUCUUCUAUUGCCUGGGACUUAAUGGCUUUCUUUGCCUCAAACUUGAUAUCAAGGGGAAGAAGUUCAAUCGCCCAUUUGGCCACUCGACCAGUUGCAUCUCUGUUGUGCAAAAUCUCUGAUAGUGGAGCGUCGCUGACGACUGUGAUUGAAUGGUCAGAGAAAUAAUGAGCAACCUUCUUCGUGGUCAUGUAUAUUCCAUACACAAGCUUCUGAUAAUGAGGAUAUCUCUGCUUGGAUGGAGUCAAGACUUCAGACAAAUAAUACACUGGACGCUGAACUUUGAGAGCUUUUCCUUCUUCUUCCCGCUCGACCGUUAGCACAGUACUGACGACUUGUCCUGUGGCUGCGAUGUAGAGCAACAGAGGCUCUUUGCUGAUUGGAGCAGCAAGCACCGGCUGGGUGGAGAGCAGAGCUUUUAGCUCGGCAAACGCUGCAUCAGCUUCUGGAGUCCACUCGAACUUGUCAGCCUUCUUCAUCAGUCGGUAAAGAGGCAAUGCCUUUUCACCGAGUCGCGAGAUGAAUCGACUUAAUGCGGCCAAGCAUCCAGUAAGCUUCUGGACAUCGUGCACUCGCACAGGGCGUUUCAUUCGGAGAAUAGUGCCAAUCUUUUCUGGGUUGGCGUCGAUUCCCCGUUCGGAAACGAGAAAACCGAGUAACUUGCCACCAGGAACUCCAAAUGUGCACUUUGACGGAUUGAGCUUGAUAUCAUACCUUCUGAGGUUGGCAAAUGUUUCGGCAAGGUCAGCGAGCAGGUCGGAACCUUUUCGUGACUUGACAACAAUACCAUCCAUAUAAGCUUCCACAUUCCGAUUGAUUUGAAUGAGCAGACACUUCUGAAUCAUUCGCAUAAACGUGGCUCCGGCAUUCUUGAGGCCGAACGGCAUGGUGAUAUAGCAGAAGCACCCGAAUGGAGUGAUGAAAGCUGUUUUUACUUCAUCGGGUCCAUACAGACGGAUCUGGUGGUACCCGGAGUAAGCAUCUAAAAAAGACAGCCUCUCGCAUCCCGCGGUCGAGUCAACAAUUUGAUCUAUGCGAGGGAGAGGAAAGUGAUCUUUCGGGCAGGCCCGGUUUAUGUGCUUGAAAUCAAUGCACAUUCGGAGCGACUUGUCCUUCUUAGGAACCAUGACGACGUUAGCGAGCCACUCGGAAUGGAAUAUCUCUCGGAUAAAUCCUGCCGCCAACAGUCGAGCCACUUCUUCACCGAUGGCCUUUCUCUUCUGGACGGCGGACCGCCGAAGAUGUUCUUUUACUGGCUUUGCAGACUUGUCGACUCUUAGGCGAUGCUCAGCCAGUCCCCUGGGAACACCUGGCAUGUCAGCGGGCUUCCAUGCAAAAAUGUCCCAGUUCUCACGGAGGAACUGGACGAGCGCUUCUUCCUAUUUUGGGUCGAGUGUUGUGGAGAUGCGGGUCGGAGCUGCUUCGGGGUCGGUCGGGUGGAUGUGAACAGGCUUCGUCUCACCGGACGACUGGAAUGCAGAUUCUGUGGCGGGCUUCUUGGAUCGCAACAAGUCACUCGGAUCUGCGUUUUGCUUGUACUCUUCGAACUCGACCGCUGUCACUUGGGAAUCGGCAAUUUUGGAGCCCUUCUGAAAGCACUCCUCUGCCUUUUUCCUAUCUCCGGUGACAGUGAUCACACCUUUGGGACCGGGCAUCUUCAAUUUGAGGUACACGUAACAUGGUCGAGCCAUGAACCGUGCAUAGGCUGGCCUCCCCAAAAUGGCAUGAUAUGCACUUUGAAAAUCCACGACCUCAAAUGUCAACUUUUCUUUGCGGAAAUGCUUUGAAUCGCCAAAUACUACGUCCAAAGCUAUCUGGCCGAGAGACUCAGCCUUCUUCCCUGGUAUAACUCCAUGGAAGCUCAUGUUACUCGUGCUCAAUCGGGACAUCGGAAUGCCCAUACCUUUCAGCGUGUCUGCAUAUAACAGAUUCAGCCCACUUCCACCGUCCAUCAGCACCUUUGUCAGUCGAGUGCCUUCGACAACUGGAUCGACCACCAACGCUUGCCUCCCAGGGGUGGCAAUAUGAGUCGGGUGAUCAGAUCGGUCGAAUGUGAUGGGUGUUUGAGACCACUUCAGAUAAUUUGCCUUCGCUGGAGCAACCAUGUUAACCUCUCGGUUAAUUACUUUCAGUCGACUUCUGCUUUCCACAUCUGCGAAGAUCAUCAGAGUGGAGUUGAUAUGCGGGUAUCCUCCCUCACUGUCCUCUUUGUCUUCGGCUUUGUCCGACUCCUUCUCCUUGUCCUUAGACUGUUUUCCCUGAAACUGCUGGAUCAGGAGUCGACAUUGGCGAGUGGUGUGCUUUGGGUAAAUGAUAUUGCCCUCUUCAUCUUUCUUCGUGUGAAUAUGACACGGCAUAUCCAUCACGUCGUUCCCUUCUUUAUCCUUCACCUUCUUGGGGUUCCAGGAUCCUUUUGGUUUCCCCUUAGACUUUCCUUGAGUCACGGCCAGAGCCUCUCCAGGAGCUGCUGGUUCAGCCUUCCGCUUCUGUUUCCGACUGGAAUUCCCUUUUUCCGACUGGCUCGGCUUGUGCUUGCCGCUUCGGAGUCGGUCUUCUUCUUCGCCGUUGGCGUACUUGGUAGCAAUCUCCAUCAUACGACUCAAGGUCAUGUCACCGGUUCGACCAAAUUUCAAGCUGAGUUCUCUGUUUUUGACGCCAUCUUUGAAGGCGCACACUGCCUGAUGAUCAGAGACAUUUUCCACUAUGUGAUGCAAAGUGAUCCACCUCUGAAUAUACUCUCUGAGAGUCUCAUUGGUUUUCUGCAUGCAGACUUGCAACUCUGUCAAUCCCGCUGGUCGCUUGCAAGUCCCUUCGAACGUUCUGACGAACACUCGGGACAGAUCUUCCCAAGUGUAGAUACUGCUAGGAGGUAAUUGGGUCAACCAUGCCCUGGCAGAACCUUCCAACAUGAGGGGCAAAUGCUUCAUGGCCACCUCGUCGUUCCCACCACCGAUCUGAACUGCCACUCGGUAGUCUUCAAGCCAAGUUUCAGGCUUAGACUCACCAGUGAACUUGCUGACUCCUGUCGCCAACCUGAAAUUGGGGGGAAUAACAGCGGCUCUGAUAGCUCUGCUGAAACAUUCAGGGCCAGAAACAUGUACUCGACUGCUCGUGGGCACUUCUCUAUCGAGUGCACCACGAUGGGCUCUGUUCCGGUCGACCAACCCUUGCACGAUAAUGGAUCGCGCGUCGAAGCCUGGCUCCCUGGGGUCAACUGGAACUCUACGCCCUGUACUGUACUGACGCCUAUCAUCUGGCUGCCGAGGAGCGUAAGACCCACCCCUCGGAGGGGAAUAAGGCACUCGACGCCUAUCAUCUCGGUCGAGCCUGUCGCCAUAUUGAUCUCGCCGAUGCUCAUACCCUUCGCGCCGCGGAGGCGAUCUGGGGCUGUGAGCCGACUGUACCGUAUUCACAGUGACAGAUCGACUGUGAAUCCUGUUGCGCGACUGAGACACGGCUGAAUUCUGAUCUCCUGCUGCCCGGAGCAGAUCUCUGAUCUGCAGCAAACCUCUGCCAGCUUCUGACUGCGAAGGCUGAAUGGACUCUGCUAUACGGGUCGCUGUUGCUAAAUUCUGAAUCGGGGUUCGAUAUACCUGAGUCGGCGGGAAGAGUUGACGUCGACUGGUGUCGGGAACUCGUUGCCGCGCGCGCUCGUCGAGUGCUCGCUGAAGGUUCUCCAGUCGAGUGCGCUCGGCCAAAUUGGCCAGGCGCGCCUCCUCCAAGGCGCGAGCCUCGGGGGUUUCUCCUGCGAUAGGAAUACGCAGGGGAUCCUCGUUCCUGCGGCGAAGCUCUUCUCUUUGCAGAGAGUCGAGUGGCUCGGGCUGGUACUCUUCGUAACCUCGAGCAGGGUCGCCGCCGUCGCCUGCUCCCCCACCGCGGGCGAAGCCGGGAGGGCUAUGAGGCCCGUUGACCAUCAGGAUUUCCGCCGCUGGAUCACUGCUUCCGCAUUCGGAUGCAGUCUCUCCGGAGCCAGUCGACUGAUCGAACAAGCCGUAGAGAGAUUCGUUGGGCUCGAUUGCCGCAACUUGCGUAGUGGUCGACUGGCGAGCCACCGCGCGACUCACCCAUCGCUGAAGCCUCGACCGACCUGAGCGCUUGCGCUGGCGGGAGACCGGGAGGGUGGAAGGAACUGACCGAUACUGGGUCGACGGUUGCCGCAACAGAACGCCGCGGACACAUGCGCGGAAAUGCGUCGCACCGCGGACGGGGAGCGCAUCAACGUCGAGCGGAGCCUCUUGGAGCCAUGCGGAGUCGUCGGCGAUGAAGGUGAGAGUGCCGAGACGGAUCUCUUGACCCUCGAUCAAAACUCCAGCAGACACCAUGAUGAAAAUACUCGGAAGAAUCGCAACUUCUCCACAAAAUCGCUAAAACACCGGCCCCACGGUGGGCGCCAACUGUCGUGGUUCUAAGCCUGACAGUAGAGUGGGGGGUAGGUAUUGAGAGGCAAGGUCCUAGCUAUGGAGAGGUUGUAAGCACAAAGGAUGUACGAGUUCAGGCCCUUCUCGGAGGAAGUAACAGCCCUACGUCUCGGAGCCCGGAGGCGGUCGAGUGGAUUAUGAAUGUAUGGAUUACAAGGUGCCGAACCCUUCUGCCUGUGGAGGGGGGUGGCUUAUAUAGAGUGUGCCAGGACCCCAGCCAGCCCACGUAGGAGAAGGUUUAAGGUGAGUUAAGUCUGGGGCGUUACUGGUAACGCCCCACAUAAAGUGCCUUUACUAUCAUAAAGUCUACUUAAUUACAGGCCGUUGCGGUGCAGAGUGCCUCUUGACCUCCUGGUGGUCGAGUGCGUCUUCGUGGUCGAGUCCUUCAGGCCAGUCGAGUGUGUCCUCGUUGGUCGAGUGAACCCUCGUUGGUCGACUGGAAGGCGACCUCUUCUAGGGAUGUCCUAGGGUAAGUUACUUGGGACAGGUCCGUGACCCUACCCUAGGUACAUAACCCCAUCACUCGCCUCCUUCUGUAGACGUCGUCGAUGUAACUUCCUGAUGUGGCGCUCAUAGUCUGUGUCAACAGGCUUAGGAGCUGGUGGUUGAGCCAUACGAAUGAAGUGGUCAACUACUUCCACAGGCACUUUCUCCCUUGGCGGCGGUGGCGGUUUCGGUCCAAAAUGGGCGUCGAGUUCUGCCUGCACUAUGGCAUUGGUUUGCUCCUCGGUCCUGUUGUAAGCCCUCACAGGAAGAGGAGUAGUGAGGUUUGGACCAUAUUUAUAUCGCUUGCCUCCGCCUGUACUUCCUGUACUAUGACCUCGACUCGUACCGCUACGCACCAUAGCUGCGGGGUGUCUCUUCUGCGAUUGCUGAGGCGGCGGAGACGGCUGACGGGGCUGAGUUGGACGAGGAGGAGUGGCCUGAAGCUGUGCCGGACUUGCAGUGGCCUGAGAUUGUGCCGGACUUGGAGGAGGAGUGGACGUCUGAUGCUGUGCCGGACUUGGGGGAGGAGUGGCCUGAGACUUUGCCGGACUUGGAGGAGGAGGAGUGGCCUCACGCGUUGGUGGACUUGGAGGAGCGGGAGUCUGCUGACUCGGUGGCGGACUUCGAAAGAUGAUGCAAUCCUUUCUCCAUAGGAUGACACGAUGUAUGGCCUCUUCCAAUGUGUGCUCGUCGUCACCUCCAGGCACUACAAUAGGACCACCCCUAUAGCAACGGUUUUUUUCAUAUCUAAAAGUCCAUAUAUGCGUUGUUAGUGUCUUUACCAACGGUUUGGGAUGCGUAGCCUUAUCUAGUGUUGCUAGCGCAUAAUGCAACGCUUAUACUUUCGUUGGUAAAACGAGCCGUUGCAAGAGUACAACACAUAAAACCAAAUUUCACAACACUUAUAUAUGUUGGUGCUUAAUAUACAGGAAUCCAAAUCUCAUUGCUUGGUAACAAGAAUUUGCGACUAGUACAUAUAUAAUGUGAAUAUCUAUAAUCCCAGCUAUUAAAUUAAUGUUCCACAUAAUGGUAAUAAUUAUGUAUAUCAAGUGAGGAAAAAAAAGGAAUAUACAUAGGACGAAAUCCGAAAUCAUAUAUUGGAUAGAACUGCUGGAUUACAAUAGUAGAUAUUACAUGAGCAACUUCAUCCAAUUGUGAUACAUAAUCUAAAUAUUUUCUUGACAUUAAAACCUAAACUGAAAGCAUCCAUCAACAUCCCUACAACUUAACAAAAACUUAACUGAGGAACACGAACAUCAUCCAACAGGAACAACAUCCCUACAACUUAGCUACAACUAAAAGCGUCUGUCGUCAUUAUCAUCAUCAUCAUGAACCAGAACAGUAGAACACCAUCAUCAUCAUUGCAGUAUUCUUGCCACGCAACCAUAUAAUCAGCCAUAUAUCUUUUGAAUCUACAAAGAAAAUAACAAAAUGAAUUGUUAACACAGAAUGCAUUGACAUGAUGCAAGUAGUGAUAUAGGCACGAUAUGUCACAUACAAAGGUUGAGGGCAAUGCAAUCUUUGUUUUUCUGCAUUACCGAGAAUAUUACACGUUUUACGACUCCGUACCAAAUCUUCAGUUUUCACAAGUGCCAUAUCAACAUGCACUGCCGAGAAUUCAUUUGUAAUUUCAGCACCAUCAAGUGUACAUUUAGGAUCACGAUAUCAAAAAAAAAAUACAUUUAAGAUCACAACUUACAACUAUAGCAAGAGCUACGAUCCCUAUUAGAUAGAAGUGGAGACAUGAUACAAUGGAAAAUAAGGAUAAAGCCAUGUAAUUGCACUGCUUAAUUAAUCAAACCUUUUUAUUAACAAAAUGAAGUUAUAGAGAUGCAAAUGAAAUUUCAGUUUAUUUCAGGAAUAUAAAUAGAAGCACGGCCACUCUACAAUAAUGAUUGCAAGUUAUCAUCUUUCAAGAAGUACGGUGCAAAUAAAAGGACUACAAUAGGGGAAAGAACUAGACGUACAGUUACUAAGCUGAAGGACAAACAUGGCGAAAACCUUUGUCUGAUCUUUCGCUUCAUAGCCUUGAUGCUGACCUGCAUACAUGAGUAACUAAGAAUCUAUAAAAGAAGCUAAGAAUUUAUAAAAGAAGUCGCUCUGUUAUCAUUAAAAGUAUACAAUGAAAGAGAAUGGGCUGACACAGAAACUAUAAUUAGAACAUAAUUAUAAGCCAGCCUUAAGGAAUGAAUCCACACCCUACUGUAUGGCGUAUACAAAUCUACUAUUCUCAUUAGAAUCAGUUUGCUAAUACUGAAAUGUUAGAAAGAUAAUUUUCUACCAAUUUCCAUCAAUUUCUUCAAUUGAUUUCUGGCAUCUUACUUCAUUUGUGUUUCAUAAACGUUGCCAAAAGAAAAUUCAUAAUAAGUUUUCUGUAGGAAGUUGUGUGUGUUUGGAUCAUAUUAAAGUUAUAAUAAUAUCAAGACAUGACACAAUAUUGUGUGGUAUACAAAGAGCUAGAACUGAAGGGGAGCCUUGGCGCAGUGGUAAAGCUGCUGCCUUGUGACCAUGAGGUCAUGGGUUCAAGUCCUGGAAAUAGCCUCUUACAGAAAUGUAGGGAAAGGCUGCGUACUAUAGACCCAAAGUGGUCGGACCCUUCCCUGUACCCUGCGCAAGCGGGAGCUACAUGCACCAGGUUGCCCUUUUUUUAUACAAAGAGCUAGAACUGCAAACCCAUUCAAGAAAUGAUGACUCACUCCUUGCAUAAUUCUUAAUACAAUUUCAUGGCCAUAGUUGCAUACAGUUUUUCCAAACCAAUUCUAGCAUAGAAGAAAAGGAACCCGGGGAUAUAUUAAAGGUUUGCAAAAAUCAUGGAAACACAUGAUGACACAUUGGCACAAUAGUAAACUUGUGUAACACUUCAGGUUGCAAAUAUCUUCAGCUGGAAUCAUUAAUGGUACCAUAGCAUCAAUCUUGACUCUGCACAGUUUGAGAGCUACCUGCAGUAAAGAAUAAUUGACAUCAAAAAAAUUACAAUUCUAAAAAAGGAUAAAACAUAUUAGAAUAUGAUUGAAUCCUAUUUACAUGGCUUGUCCUUACAUGCAUGGUUGCUGUUUAAGAACAUAAGAUUCAAGAUAUGGAUUUAUGCAUGUUUGGCAUUAGUUCUGGACAUGUCAGAAAAACUACCACUUUACGUUUUUGUGCGAAAAACUACCACUUUUUGUCUAAUCUUUGACUAAAAACUACCAUGUCAGAAAAGCGCCCGAUUCGCCUCUUCUAAACACCUUUCUGACAGGAUGGGCCCACCUGUCAGCAUCAAUCUUCUUCCUCCUCUCUCUGGCAUUUCCUCAAACACCUCACGUGCACUCCACCGCUUUGCCCCCACCGGCCGGCAAGCCCCGCUACCUGCAGUUUUUGGUUAAAUACUCGUUUAAGUCAGUGACUGGUGUUGUGCAUGUGGCGAUUGUCCGUAUAUGCAACCUUCCCUAUGAUACGACACGACACUGGCGGAGCCUCAUGGAGGCCAAAAGGGGCUACAACACGGUGGCUGUGAGUGUGACCAUUGGUAUGAGAAACAAAGAUGACCUGCAGUGCACCAUAGCAAGCAGGAAACCUGCAAUUGAUGGCAUAUCCAUGGCCAGAGAUGGCCGGAGCAAUACCGUGUAGCAUGCUGCAAGACCUAUUGGUGCUGCCAUGGCGCCUCCUCCAGUAUCGGCAAUGAGUCCUGCAUCGAGCCCUUGACCUCGUGUGCGCGGGCUGCAGGGUCAUCGCGGUCACGACCUCGUGCCGCACCAAUUGUCUCUGCUCCUUCGGCGGCGAGGUCAACACAUUGAGAAUGUCCCUCAGGCCGCGACGUGGUGACCGUCGUGCUCGACAUUGCUGCAGGCCGGUUGGCUGUGCCAAUGCCUUUGAUCGACGAGGCAUGUCGCUGCCGGCGGGUCGGCUGUGUCAAUGCCUUGAUCCACAACGCAUGACUCCGAAGUACUCAUUUUGCAUGCUUUUAUUCUAUACUCCAUUACAGUCUUGGUUUUCUUGAAUUAUGGCUGGAAAUAAUUUGUCUGUCGUUCUUGCAUACGUGAGUAGCAGCUAUACUUCCGGUUGAAAAAUAACACCUCCAUAUACUCGUCUACUUCUGUUUGUGAGCAGUGUUGAAAAAGAAUGAACCAUCAGCUCACACUGCUCCUAGUAAUGCGUAUUUCGUUUUUAAAAAAAUGGCCCCCUCUUGGUUUCUUCACUUCUUGCCACGCUCCGCCACUGCCAAACAAAUGCUUUUAAUCUAAGCAGCAGGCAGACAUAGAUAAUCAAGAAAACUGACAGAACGAAGAGGUUACUAAAUCCAUAGUUUCAGGUUGAUCAAUUAUCUUGAUGCUUUUUGGGUGAGGUCGCAUUGGAUAUAUUCAAAUGUCUAGUAGUUGUUAUGCAACACACAUGUAGAAGGUUCAGCCUUAACUCCCAGGGAUAGUUCGAAGUCCAAGUGAUGGUCACAUACCUAGCCUCGUCCGACUCGACAUACAGCGCCAUGUUGGCCACGUCUUCCACCUCCAGCAUCGUACCAUUGAGUUCGCUUGGCGAUGUAUUCCUUUUCCACUUCCCGCCUCAGUGCAUGCUCGUCGACGCCGAGGCACAUCUCGUCCAUUGACAUCACCGUCAGUAGCGUCACGAUGGAGUUCAUACGCAGCCUGUUCCUCCCUGCACGUCUACAAGAGGAGAAAAAAUAGAGGUUAGAGGAAGGGGAAGAGAAAGAGAGGAUGAAUCCAGGGGAAGGGAUGCACUCACCGGAAGAGAGGAGUACCAGAGGAGGACGACCUGGCCACCGGUGCCGGAGCCGACGGCCGAAACCCUUGCCAGGGCGGGGGUAGCCGUGAGCAGCGGAUCUAGUCGCAUGGGACGACGCUGCGUUUCGAUGGGGACCUCGGGCUAUGCUUCGUGAUGGCGGGAUUCGCCGGACGUCGCCUGAAUUAGCCGUCGCAGAUGGCGAGGAGGCGUGUGAAGAGAGCUAGAGAUCGGACGCGAGAGGGAUGGGUGGGUGGGGGAUGCGAUGGAUCCAGCAGCCGCCGGAGCUGCGCGGUGGGAUGAGGGGAAGGGAAGGGCCGGCGGCGAGGUGGAUCGGAGGAGGGAGAGGUGGCGGCGAUCUGGGAGAGAUGAGGGGAAUCGGGGGCUCUGUUUUUUGCGUCUCUCUCUCCUUUGCUCUGUUUUCCAUAUGUAUAGGUCAUGACAAAUCUGCAACCCAUAUGGUACAUCGAUAAUAAUGCGUAUCUAUUGAAAAAUUUGCAACAUAUAGUUCAAAUGUUGUAGAAAUUAUGUUGCUUUAUAGCAGGUAUCCUUGUAGUGAGGAAUGUCAAGCUGUAGCUCCGAAUAUGGGUCCACCACCUCAUCAACCAAGACACGAGCAUAGCCCGCUGGAAUCGGGUUGCAAUGGAAGGUUGCAUCGGGGGAAUUUGAAAAAGCAACGGCGUCCGCCACCUUCAUGGAUAUGUUCUUCAUUUUGAAGUGUAGCUCGCAGUUAGUGUUCUUCGUGAUGUCAUCCACGGGGUAUCUAUCCAGCACUAGUGCGUCGCCCGGGGCGGAACCCACGCUGCUUCUCGGCAUGGAUGGGGCGGUGGUAUCCAAUGCUGAAUCAUCCGCUAGCUGCUGCAGCUGCUGAGACCCCCUUUGCUGGCUAAGUGAGUCGAUCUGCUCCUGUUGCCGCUGGAAUUUAGCGGCCAAUUCCGUUUGACUUGCUUCUAGGCCUUGAAGGCGUUCAUAGUCCCGCUUCCUCUGCUCCUCCUCCAUCUUCCUCUUCUUCUCCUCCGCAAUCUUCUUUCUCGCACGGGUUCUGUAGUCGGCGUUCCAGUCCGAAAACCCCUCAUACCACGGAAUAGCGCCCUUGCCUCGUGUUCUUCCCGGGUGUUCAGGAUUUCCCAAGGCACGCGUAAGCUCGUUGUUCUCUCUGUUGGGCUGGAACACCCCCGAUCGAGCCUCUUCUAUUGCAACAAGUAGCGCAUCAUCGGCUCCGUUUAGACAUGCCUUCGUCGAAACAUUGCCUGUCUUUGGGUCCAACUCCCCCCCAUGCGCAUAGAACCAAGUCCUGCACCUGGGGGGCCAGCUCUUAGUAACCGGAGUGACACUUGCAUCCUUCAUCUCUUUCUCAGACUUAUCCCACUUAGGCAUUGCCACCGCGUAGCCACCUGGUCCCAGCUUAUGGAACUUAUCCUUUUUUCGGCAUUCUUCUUGUUUAUUCUCGACCGAAGCUAAUUCUGAAUCCUUAAAUUUCACGAAAUCGUCCCAAUGAGCACUUUGAUUCUCUAGUAUCCCCUCGAAUACUGGAGUCUUCCUUCCUCCCUUGACGUACUUCUCCCACGUCGUUCUCUUGUGGUUCUUGAAUGCAACCGCCAUCUUCCUAAAAGCAGCGUCCUUGACUUUCCGCACAUCUGCAUCUGUGAAAUUAUCUGGUAGGGUGAAAUGUUCCAUGAGAGUAUCCCAAAGCAGUUUUUUUUAUUCUCGUCGACAAAAGUAACAUUUGGACGUGGCUUUGCUGGCUUUCUCCAUUCUUGAAGGGAGAUCGGGAGUUGGUCCUUCACAAGAACUCCGCACUGACGAACGAACUUGUCCGCAAUCUUCUUAGGCGCUAAUGGUUCGCCAUUAGGUUUGAAUGCCUCGAUAUUGUACUUUACGCCCUCCUUCAACUUUUUGUUCGGGCCUCGUUUCGUCCUUUUGCCUGAAGAUUUGCUCGAUCCGGAUAGCUGAAAGAAGAAAGAUCGAUUCGUUAAUAUAUCUUCAACUCAUUUAAAACAUGCGAUGAUCACCAGAUUCCUGCUUAUAUAAAUAUAUAUACCUCGCCGGUGUUUGUUGUUUCAGGAUCAACAUGUUCUUCGUCGCAAUUCAUGACUUCAUCUUCUCGGUCGUCGCGAUCGAAUAUCAUAUCACCCUCUCCGGUGUUGUUUAGAAAUUCGGAGCCGUCAUAAUCUUCUUCAUUCUGAUCAUCAUCUCGCCCGCGUAUUAUAUCGAACAUGGUCUGUUCUCCCUCUCUGUUGGUAUUGUCCGCCAUAGCUUUUAUUUAACUAUGCCAAAAGAAAUAUAAAACAAUUUAGUAUUCAAAUUACAUCGUCUCUAAUAAUAGAUAUAAUCUCGAAUACAUCGUCUCGAAUAAUAGAUAUAAUCUCGAAUACAUCGUCUCGAAUAAUAGAUAUAAUCUCGAAUACAUCGUCUCGAAUAAUAGAUAUAAUCUCGAAUACAUCNNNNNNNNNNGCUGGACGUCGUCGCGGACGGGUCGACGGCGAGGAUGCGGGCCGGGCAUCGUCGAGAACAAAUACUAGCUAUAUGCCCGCAAAAAGUAACAUUUUUUAAUGAUUGGAUUUUGAUAACUAAAAUUUCUAACAUUUCUAUAUAACUAACAUUUCUAUAACAUUUCUAACAAUGCUAUAUAUAACUAACAUUUCUAUAACAUUUCUAAUAUUUCUAUAACUAAAAAACAGAAAAAAAUUAUAACAUUUCUAUAUAUAUAACUAACAUUUUUAUAACUAUUUCUAUAACUAAAAAACAGAAAAAUUUCUAACAAUUCUAACUUUUUUAUAACUAUUUCUAUAACUAAAAAACAGAAAAAUUUCUAACAAUUUCUAACAUUUCUAACAAUUCUAACAAUUCUAACAUUUCUAACUAUUUCUAAAAAACAAAAAAAUGUCUAACAAUUUCCUAAAAACAGAAAAAUCUAUAACUAAAAAUGUAUGUGUGUGUGUGUGCGCGCUCACCGGCCGGCGAGGCGAGAGGCGACGGGGGGCGCGCGGCGACGGGGACGGCGACGGGCGCGGCGACGGGGACGGCGACGGGCGCGGCGACGACGGGACGGGGACGUACGGGCCGGGGCAGCGNNNNNNNNNNNNNNNNNNNNNNNNNNNNNNNNNNNNNNNNNNNNNNNNNNNNNNNNNNNNNNNNNNNNNNNNNNNNNNNNNNNNNNNNNNNNNNNNNNNNNNNNNNNNNNNNNNNNNNNNNNNNNNNNNNNNNNNNNNNNNNNNNNNNNNNNNNNNNNNNNNNNNNNNNNNNNNNNNNNNNNNNNNNNNNNNNNNNNNNNNNNNNNNNNNNNNNNNNNNNNNNNNNNNNNNNNNNNNNNNNNNNNNNNNNNNNNNNNNNNNNNNNNNNNNNNNNNNNNNNNNNNNNNNNNNNNNNNNNNNNNNNNNNNNNNNNNNNNNNNNNNNNNNNNNNNNNNNNNNNNNNNNNNNNNNNNNNNNNNNNNNNNNNNNCGACGGGGACGGGGCGGCGACGAGGGAUAUGGAGACGGCGGGGGCGGCGGGCGACGGUGCAGAGGAGAAGAAGCAGACGGAGAGAUGAGAAACUGACGAAAUUUUGAAGUGUUUUCUUAUAUAGAACCCACCUUUAGUACCGGUUGGAGCCACCAACCGGUACUAAAGGUCUGUUUUGGCUAGCCCAAGCGGCGGGAAGCGACCCCCUUUAGUACCGGUUGGUGGCUCCAACCGGUACUAAAGGCCCCCCCUUAGUACCGGUUGGUGCCACGACCCGGUACUAAAGGGUGUGCGCUGCCAGGCGAGGGGCACAAAAGUUUAGUCCCACCUCGCUAGCCGAGGGGCACUCGCACCUGCUUAUAAGCCCCGCCGUCGCUGCUGUCUCGAGCUUCUCUCUUAAGCAGGCCUACUGGGCCUACCUCUUCUGCGAUGCCCUGUUGGGCCUAUUGGGCUAGCGGGCCUGCAUCCUGGCCCAACUUGAAUUUGGGUUUCUAGUCGUAUGCAGGUCGCUGUGGCCCAGUAGGUGGGCUUUUUUUCUUAUUUUUUGCUUUAUUUAUUUUUGUGAAUAACUUAACUUUGAAAAUAGAUUUUUCAGUGAUUCUUUUUCUUAUGUUUAAUAUUAGUGUGUUUUAUCAUUAUAUUCAAUUUGGUAAUGCUUAGGUUAUUUAAAAAAUGAAAUGCCUUUGUAACGGAUGAGUUUUCGUCCGAAACCCUGAUACUUAGAAACAGAUUGUCCAUUUUGUACACAAAGUGCAUCCAGUUUUUGCGGUAACCCUCUCUACUUUUUUCACAUGCUAUGUGGGUGAAAUUAUGAUACCAUGCCAACUUUCAUCCUUUUCUGAGUUCAUUUGAAAUGCUUUUCAAUUUCAGGAUCAUUUAGCUGAAAAAAUCAGUAAUGCAUGAAAGAAUUUGCUUGCACAUAAAAUUUCUUCGCGUUUUAAAUGCCAAAACACAUAACUAGCUACCCUAACUAUUACAGAGAUUCCCUCCUGGGUGUGAAACACAGAAGAAAAUGAUGAUAGUUAAGACGAUCACAUCCCAGAUCUUUGGGUGUGAAACUUUUUCUUCGCGUGUGUCCUUUUGCGUCGUAGCCAUGGAAAAUCUUCAUCAUUUAACAGGAUGCUCGGGUCAAUAUUCACUGUGAAUGGAGCAAUUUCAUCAAACUUUUCAUAAUCUUCUGACUUGUCUGUCUUGUCAUCCACUCCCACGAUGUUUCUCUUCCCAGAAAGAACUAUGUGCCGAUGUGUCAUAAUCACGUGGCAAUCAUGAGACUUUAGGUUUUGGAACUUUUUUUCUGCCAUGUUUAUUAUUCCCUUUAUAUUCGACGAGAAGCCAGACGGUACCUUAAUACUGAGCAGGCAUUCAAAGAAGAUUUCCUUCUCUUCUUUGGUAAGAGCAUAGCUUGCAUGACCCUGAUGUAUGCCGUAUUUUCCGUGCAUACGUUGCUGGUCCUCCUGUGCCUCAGGUGUAUCUUUUGUCUUCCCAUACACGCCCAAGAAGCCAAGCAGGGUCACACAAAGAUUCUUCGUCACGUGCAUCACGUCGAUUGCGGAGCGGACCUCGAGGUCUUUCCAAUAGGGCAGGUCCCAAAAUAUAGAUUUCUUCUUCCACAUGGGUGCGCGUCCGUCAGCGUCAUUCGGAACAGGUUGUCCACUAGGACCCUUUCCAAAGACCACCUUCAAAUCCUUGACCAUAUCAUGUACAUCAGCACCAGUACGGUGGCGAGGCUUCGUCCGGUGAUCCGCCUCGCCUUUGAAAUGCUUGCCUUUCUUUCUUACGGGAUGCCUGCUCGGAAGAAAUCGACGAUGUCCCAGGUACACAUUCUUAUUAGCCAAAUAUAUACUGUCUGUAUCGUCCAAACAGUGCGUGCAUGCACGGUAUCCCUUGUUUGUCUAUCCUGAAAGGUUACUGAGAGCAGGCCAAUCAUUGAUGGUCACGAACAACAACGCUUUUAGGUCAAAUUCUUCCCCCAUGUGCUCAUCCCACGCACGUGCACCUGUUCCAUUCCACAGUUGUAAGAGUUCUUCAACUAAUGGCCUUAGGUACACAUCAAUGUCGUUGUCGGGUUGCUUAGGGCCUUGGAUGAGCACUGGCAUCAUAAUGAACUUCCGCUUCAUGCACAACCAAGAAGGAAGGUUAUACAAACAUAGAGUCACAGGCCAGGUGCUAUGGUUGCUGCUCUGCUCCCCAAAAGGAUUAAUGCCAUCUGCGCUUAGACCAAACCAUACGCUCCUUGCGUCAUCUGCAAACUCCUUUCCGUACUUUCUUUCGAUUUUUCUCCACUGCGACCCGUCAGCGGGUACUCUCAACUUUCCGUCUUUCUUACAGUCUUCUCUGUGCCAUCGCAUCGCCUUGGCAUGCUCUUUGUUUUGGAACAAACAUUUCAACCGUGGUAUUAUAGGAGCAUACCACAUCAUCUUGGCAGGAAUCUUCUUCUUGGGGCGCCGGCCCUCGACAUCACCAGGGUCAUCGCGGCUGAGCUUAUAGCGCAAUGCACCACAUACCGGGCAAGCGUUCAAAUCCUCGUACUCACCGCGGUAGAGGAUGCAAUCAUUAGGGCAUGCAUGUAUCUUCUGCACCUCUAACCCUAGAGGGCAGACAACCUUCUUUGCUUCGUACGUACUCUCGGGCAAUUCGUUGUCCUUUGGAAGCAUAUCCUUUAUCAUUACUAGCAACUUUCCAAAUCCCUUGUCAGAUACACCAUUCUCUGCCUUCCAUUGCAGCAAUUCCAGUGUGGUGCCCAGCUUUUUCUUGUCACCUACGCAAUUUGGGUACAACAAUUUUUUGUGAUCCUCUAACAUGCGCUGCAACAUCUUCUUCUCCAAAUCACUUGCGCAGUUUCUCUUUGCAUCGGCAAUGGCCUGACCUAGAUCAUCAACGGGCUCAUCUGAUGCCUCUUCUUCAGCUUCUUCCCGCAUUACCGGCUCAGCUUCUUCCCCCAUUGUUGUAUCAUCGUAUUCAGGGAACCCAUGGCCAGGAUAGAUGUCGUCGUCCCAUUCUUCUUCAUUGUCUUCCAUCAUAACCCUAUUUCUCCGUGCUUGGUCCAAACAUUAUAAUGGGGCAUGAAACCGGACUUAAACAGGUGGACGUGAAUGGUUCUUGACGUAGAGUAAUUGUGACCAUUCUUACAGCGAGCACAUGGACAAGGCAUAAAACCAUCCGCCCGCUUGUUUGCCUCAGCCGCAAGCAGAAAAGUAUGCACGCCCUCAGCGAACUGGGGAGAGCAUCGGUCAUCGUACAUCCAUUGCCGGCUCAUCUUCAUUACACAACACCGAAUAGACCAAAUUAAUACAAGUUCAUACAUAAAGUUCAUACAACACUUAAAUGCAACAAACAAAUAACUCUCUAACUAAAGCAUUUAAAUGCAACAACAAAUACGAUCAAGAUCGCAACUAAGGUAACAAUGGAUCCAACAGCAUAAUAAUACCAAGCCUCAUUAUCGAUGGCAUAUUUUCUAAUCUUUCUAAUCUUCAAGCGCAUUUUCUCCAUCUUCAUCUUGUGAUCAUCGACGACAUCGGCAACAUGCAACUCCAAUUCCAUCUUCUCCCCCUCAAUUCUUUUCAAUUUUUCUUUCAAGUACUCGUUUUCUCUUUCAACUAAAUUUAACCUCUCGGCAAUAGGGUCGGUUGGAAUUUCUGGUUCACAUACCUCCUAGAAAAAAUUUCUAUGUCAACUUGAUGGGCAUAAUUUGUCAUAAACACGAAAUGCAACUAGUUUUAAAAGAGAAUAUACAUACCACAUCCGAAUCAUAACAAGGACUAAGGCCGACGGGGACGGAUUCAAAACCAUGGCACUAUAUGUAUAACAAACAACGUACGGGUAAGAUAAUUAUACGAGUAACUAUAUAUCCAAAUCACACAAACAUCAAUUUUUAUAUAAAAUUUCAUGAACUAGAGGCUCACCACAAGGUGGUGCCGGCGACGGGACGGUGCGGGCGAUCGACGGUGGCUAUGAUGGAGAUUUAGAAGGCACUAAGUAAACCACACCUACAUAUGCAAACUAAAUGUUAUUUUUGACCUCAAAUUGCAUAUAAAUCAAAUACUAGCACAUAUAUAUAUAUCCUCCUAAAUUACUAAACUCACAAAUUAAUCACUAUAUAAAGCAUUGCAAGAGCUAAUCUAGCAAUGAGAGAUGAAAUGACAAAGUUGCUAACCUUUGUGGUCAUUUAAUGGAUGGGGGCCUUCAAAUCUUGACAAAUUUUGGGCAAAAUGUGUGAUGAGCUCGAGAGGAAGAGGGGAAGAACAGAGAGGAGAGGGGAAAGGGGAAGAACAGAGUGAGCUCGGGUGGACGAAGGGUCUAUGUAGGACGACCUUUAGUACCGGUUCGUGCCAAGAACCGGUACUAAAGGGGCUGAAGGGGCACCUGUCUGACAACAUCCUGCCACCACUCUCAUUAGUACCGGUUCGUGGCACGAACCGGUGCUAAAGGUUCGCCACGAACCGAUAUUAAUGAAAGCGGCCCGGCUAGCCGUUGGAACCGGCACUAAUGUAUACAUUAGUGCCGGCUCAAAUACAAACCGGCACUAAUGUGCUUCACGUUUGACCCUUUUUCUACUAGUGAAAGGUCCCAGUCGAACCAGGAUUGAUGCCUGCCGAGCCCGACCGGCGUCUUAGCCACUCGAACCGGGACUGAUACUAACACGACCGGGACUAUUGCUCCCAUCCGGCUAGAACUAAAGUCCUGUUUUCUACUAGUGCCCCUUCGUUCCGGUCACACAACUGAAGUCCUCACUGUGCCAACCUCACCCACCCCCUGCCCCGCCAUGGAUGGCUGACGCGCGAGUUCAGCUAGAGACCACCAUGUAGCAUUUCCGCCAAAAGUACGUGCUGGAUGAGCACUUCCGUUUUGUCAACUAGGACUGGGAAGAGCAUUUUUUCAUUCACGCACUUGACGAGUCCCUGGUCGGGCCACCAGGGAUAGUCCCGGAGUCCCCAUCAAAGCUUCACAAGGAGGGGGCAGCCAGCCUUUCGUGUGUGAUGGUAAUAGGGUUAGGAAUACAUUUAAAGUUUGUCUCCGUUCGGAACCGACGUGGAAAUGGUGUCAUCAUCAAUGUUAAAUAAGCACUUACUCUUCACCCUCAUCUUAGUGAUGCCUCUUUGCAUUGUCGGGAGGCGUGUGAAAAAUGGUGUGUUCACAGAUCAAAUUCUUUGAGUCUUGUAUUUCCUUUUCUAAGUUUUUCUUGGCCGUGUUGUCUUGCGGAGUGGAUAAAGUGGUUAGCCAGUGUCAACCCCGUCGGGGAGCCUGAGAGACUCUUCCUGACCAAACGAGGCUCCUCCGGACAUGCUCUUGGAUGCUACUCUCCGAGACGGUGAUUUGACGAAGAUCGCGGUCGCAGGCCACUUCUGGUUUACAUUAACAACUUAUCAACCACUGCUACUAUGAGGUCCUAAUUUUUAUUUUACAAAAAACUCCUAAUUCUAAACAAGUUUGCUCCGCUAAAAUGGUGGCCAAGAGACGCCAACGAAUUUUGUUCACGGCAGGCUGCCGAUGGUUGUAAGAGGAAGCAGUCUUCGGCGCAAAUAAUUUUCAUGUAUUUUUAAAUUUCUAUUGGUGUGUUCAAAAUUUUUGUGACACUUAAAAUAUGUUCACGUAGCCUCUUAGGGCAUCUCCAACACCAACCCGCAAAAACUGAUGUUCGGACACGGAUACGGGAGCCAGCCAUCCAACCAUAGCCAUAAACGUCAGUCUGUUAAAUUUAAUUCAUCAAAAAAAGUACUAAGCUAAAUAGUCUUCCAUCAAACAUGUCAUGAUUCCUACAAAACACCUAGCUUUUUAUUUGGCGGAAGGCAAACCAUGUUUCCGGCCAAACAUCUAAACAUCAAUGAUUUAAUCACUCUAUUUGGUGUGCCUUCCGCCAAAUAUACUUGAAACAUCCAUGAUAUAAUAUGUGCCUUCCGCCGAUAGUUUAUUAAUGACUAUUUUGUGUGCUUCCGCCAAAUAUCAAGCCAGCCAGCCACACCUUCCUUCAUAUUUGUGUUGGAUUUGUUAUAUGGAUGUCCGGACUUCCGCAAACUUUUUCUACAUUUGUCUCGGAUUUGCCGAAAUAAUACGUCCGAAUUGCUUGACGGACCGAUACAAGACAGCGUUGAAUGACAAACAGUACCCAAACAGCACGGUCCGGAAACAUGUGUGGGGUUAAGGGUCCGCCUUGAAGAUGCAUUAGGAAAAAGAGAUCCUGUAAAACUGAAGAAAACUACACCGUUCAUUUAAAAUUAGACAUUGCCAUGUUGUCUUAUUCAUAGUAUAAUGUGUCCACCACACAUAUAGACUACUAGCAGUAGCCGGCCAUCCAUUUUUAUUUUAUUCUUACACAACACUCGACGAAGUUGAUCGCGUGAUCAAUGGCGUGCUAGUUACACCGGCGGAACAGCCUCUGACGGCGUGCACGCAGGAGGGAAGGCUCCAAAGUAGCUGUCGAUGCAGACGCGGCGGGAAGGGUGCGACCUGGCCGGCAGGCAGGUCUUGCAGGUCGGAGCACACUCGUCGACCUCGUCCCCGCAGCGGCACGUCGGCGGGUUGGACUUGGUGCACGUAGGCGAGUCGCAGCACUCCCACGGCCUGC